CAUGCUUGCUAGACUUUGAGCCACACAUUUACUAUUUACUGCUUAUGAGCAUUGAGUGUGGUCAAGCUGUGUAGACCUUUAGGAGCUUGUCAUGUAGUUAAAAUCAAGAUUUUACUUGCACGUUCACUCAUAUAUGCUACUUCUACUCCGGAAGUACCAUCCACAUAUAUCCACCCAUUUUCAUCUCUAGAACCACCUAAAAACAUUCUACUCCUAAUCCGCGAGAGAAUAGCCAAAAAUAUUUCUGUUUUUUCCUGUGAAAUAAAUGCUCAAGAUAUCUUGUUACUACCACUUGCUAUAUUAUCUCAAGAGAUGAGUGCUCUAAAAAAAGAGAAGAAAAGAUAUGAGGAAAUAAAAAGGGGCAAGUGCCCGGAACCUCGAAAGAAAAGAAAAAGUGAGACGAGAGGUAAAAAUGGACAAGUGUCCGACAGUAGAAUUAGGGGUACAAGAUACCAACCUGAGAGAAAAGAAAAAUAUAGAGCAUCUCAUUCUCCUCAUAAAAUUUCAAAAAGCAAGGAAGGUAUGUAUCCCCUCAAAAGAGCAAAAGUAGGAUUAGACUUUCACAAUUGUUAUCACUGUUGACGGUUCUUAAGUAUCAAUUUUAAUUAUCAAAUAAACAAGAGAAAGGACCAAUAUGCAACCAACACCUAGAAUUAGGGUUUGAUCUGACAGAAUUCCACGAGUUUUGUUGUUUAUCUGUUCUUGCAGGGGGUUAUCAGGAAAUAAGGAAGAAAGGCCCAUAUGUCGGGAUUACAUAGAGAUAUCAAUGCACCGUGCAAUUUUACAUCAUCUAGAAGACUCCAGAAGCCACGGGAAGAAGACGGAGGCCGAAAGGGGCCAGGCCCAGGGCGCCCGCCCCCCUCUGGAUCGAGAUCAGGACUCUCUUCGCUCGGGAUAUUCCACCGACCUAUUGGAUCAAGAAAAACAUAGUACCACCUCGCCUAUCGACCCAAAAACGCAUAGAAGGGGAGGACUAUAUAAGCAAGGCCCCCCUGGCCCCUGGAGAAGACAUGAAGAAAUUAUCAUAGAGAUUGAGGGUUGUCCUCGAAGGAAAACCUCUUCUCUAAUUAAUAUUUCUUUUUAGGCUUAGCAACCAAUGUAAGGUAGAAAUAGAUCUUCUAGUAUCUACUACAUUGAGAGAGAUAGAGUGGAGGUGUAGAGUGGAGGAAGCCCAGCCUGUCGGUGUCUACUCCAAGCUUGUACCUGCGGGAUCAAGUUCUCCUAACCCAAAGCUUGCUCCUAGGAUUCUUCAGUAAUUCGACUUCUAAAUUCUAGUAAGUUCUUGUUUUAUUGUUCUUAUGGUUUAUGAGUUUACUUUAAUCUCUUCGCGUAGAGUUUAGAGUAAUCAUUGCUGGCGUAAACGUGGUGUUUAGGCUGGGGUACUCAUAGAUAUUCCCUAACUAGCUGGACCGUGGUAGUAGUGAGGAACGUGACAAUUCCGAGCUACCUUUGUAGAUCACAUCUCGUUAGCAGGAAGGAUAGGGUUUAUAGGUGCGGGUUGAACAUCCUUUGUGGUGUCUAGAUUCCGUUAGCCUCCCCAUUAGAACAAUAGAUCAUCCUUACCAAGGUUAGAAGGAGACUACGGUUGCAGUCUUCUCUAUUUAUCACUCACAUCGAAAGACAUUCUUUGUGCCUAAAGGUUAGUAGUAAUAGACCGGUUAGUCAGAUGCACUCUUUCUCCUAGUGAUAAAAAAAUAAAUACGAUACUCUGGAUAAUUUCCCGGGUGAAGUGCUCACCGAUAUCCGUGCGCUUGCGGAUCAAUUCCUUAUUGCGUUCCCAAAUAUCAACAAGCAUUUCUGGCGCCGUUGCCGGGGAGAAAGACGGUUGCUGAGAUAACCUGAGUCUUACUAUUAGCUUGUAUCUAUACUUUUAUCUUUUCUUAUCUUUUAUAUUCUUUAUUUUCUUUACUCUUACCUUAUGGAAAACCAAAAUUCUAAAUCGAUCCAUGAGUCUGCAAUCCCUUUAGCAACUGACCUUUUACCAUGGGAAUCAUCACAGCCUAUCCAAACAUCCCAGUAUAAGUUAAGUUCUAGGUUGAUUGCCAUGAUUCAAAACCUAUCUUUUUUGGGAAAGGAAGACGAAAACCCUUACCUUCAUAUUAGAGAUUUUGAGCAAACAUGUGAUUGUCUUCGCAUUGAAGGCAUUUCUGAUAAGACUUUACGUUGGAAGCUUUUUCCUUUUUCUCUAAGGGGAGAAGCUAGACAAUGGUACAGUCAGAAGGUAAGUCAACAACAAGGUGAAUGGGGAGUUUUACGAGCCAACUUUUGUCUAGAUUUCUAUUCCCUUGACCGUAUAGCCGACCUUAGACUUGAAGUCCUAUCUUUUAAACAAAAAGAUAAUGAAACUUUGGGAAAAUCCUGGAAACGUUUUUCUAAUCUUUUAGAAUCUGGUCCAAACCUUAAUCUUGAAGACCCUGUUCUUUUAUUCCACUUUUUUCGAGGUCUUCAGAAAAAUCACAAACAAAUGCUGCACACAAUGUCUAGAGGUUCUUUCUUUCGCAUCCCUGCUGAGGAAGCAAGAGUGAUCCUAGAUAGAAUCCUAGAAGCUGAGAUGGAUAAUACCCUUCAUGAUGAAACCUACGAAGCCGAAGUAGACACUCUGCCAAAUUCUUCAUCUACUUUAGCUAUCCCAAGUUCUGAGCCACAAGAGGAAGAAAUUCCACUACCGGACUUCAUGCUGGAUAUAGAAUUCGAUCUUUUUGCCGAUUUUGGAAAUAUUUCAAACUACCAUUCUAUUGACAAACCCCAAAACGGCCAGUUUAGCAUUUAUUUACCAAGUGAAUAUCAAUUGAGAGAGCUUAUCUCAGUAAUGAGUAGCGAAUGGUUGGAGGAAUCAGAGCUUUCCUCUGAUGUGAUCCGUUUGGACACACCCUCUAUAACUAUACGCUGUGCUUAUAAUUCUGAUCGAUUUAAUGCUCUUUAUAAUCCUGUUGUGGGGAUCAACAUCAUGUCUGAAUCCUUUGCACUUAAACUAUUUAAAAAUCUUGUCUUAACCCCCACAACAAAGGUCAUAAAGGAAUCUUCGGGACGAUUAGUCCCCAGUCUUGGAAUUAUUAAUGUCCUACCUCUUACGGUAGAAGGCUCCAUGGUUCAUUUGAACUUCUAUAUCUUUGAUACAUGAGACUUCGACCUGUUGAUAGGACAACCUUUUAGAAGACUCCUUUAUGAAGGUCAUACUGGAAAGCUACACAUUUCUUUUGGAAAAACUUUUAAAUUCCCAAUAAUAAUUUCACACUCCUUAAAUAAUAAGGCCGAGUCAUAUCUUUUGCCUGUUCCUAUGGAGGAAGUAAAGGCUGCAUCUCUAGAGCUUUUAGAUGAACCAUACUUAGAAGACAAAACUCCUUUCUUCACAGAAGAAGAAAACGAACCUUCUGAGCCUGAACCCUUAGAUGAGUUUGCAGAAACACCUAGACCUCCUAUAGAGCUUAAAACUUUACCACCCGGUCUUACCUAUGCUUUCCUAAACAAUAAUCCAGAGUUCCCUGUGAUCAUUAGCGAUAAACUCACUCAGGAUCAAACUCUGUGAUUAAUGACCAUUCUUGAGAAACAUCACUCAGUUUUUGGCUACUCACUUCAAGAUCUUACAGGAAUCAGUCCUAUGAUUUGUACCCAUCGUAUUCCAACAGAUCCUUCUGUUACACCCUCUCGAGAACCCCAACGUAGACUUAACAACACUAUGAGAGAGGUAGUUAAAAAGGAAGUUAUAAAGUUGCUGCAUGCAGGGAUUAUAUAUCCUGUGCCGCACAGUGAGUGGGUGAGCCCAGUACAAGUUGUGCCUAAAAAGGGAGGCAUGACUGUUAUUAUGAAUGAAAAGAACGAGCUAAUUCCGCAACGCACCGUCACAGGAUGGCGGAUGUGCAUAGACUAUAGAAAACUAAAGAAAGCUACAAGAAAGGAUCACUUUCCUUUACCUUUUAUAGAUGAGAUGCUAGAGCGGUUAGCAAACCAUUCAUUCUUUUGUUUCUUAGAUGGAUAUUCAGGGUAUCAUCAGAUCCCGAUCCAUCCUGAUGAUCAAAGCAAAACCACUUUUACAUGCCCUUAUGGAACUUAUGCUUACCGUAGAAUGUCUUUUGGGUUAUGUAAUGCACCAGCUUCUUUUCAAAGAUGCAUGAUGUCUAUAUUUUCUGAUAUGAUUGAAGAGAUUAUGGAAGUUUCAUGGAUGAUUUCUCUGUUUAUGGAGAAACUUUUGAUAGUUGUCUUGAAAACUUAGACAAGGUUUUGCAAAGAUGUGAAGAAAAGCACUUAAUCCUUAAUUGGGAAAAAUGUCAUUUUAUGGUUAGAGAAGGAAUAGUGCUAGGACACUUAGUGUCUGAAAGAGGGAUUGAGGUAGACAAAGCUAAAAUUGAAGUAAUUGAACAACUACCUCCACCUGUGAAUAUAAAAGGAAUUCGAAGCUUUCUUGGCCAUGCUGGUUUUUAUCGUAGAUUCAUAAUAGAUUUUUCAUUUAUUGCUAGACCACUUACUCUUUUGCUAGCCAAGGAUGCUCCUUUCGAAUUUGAUGAUGCAUGUCUAACAUCUUUAAAUUUAUUAAAGUAAGCACUCAUCUCUGCACCAAUCAUUCAACCCCCUGAUUGGUCGUUGCCUUUUGAAAUUAUGUGUGAUGCUAGUGAUUAUGCUGUGGGGGCAGUAUUGGGACAAACUAAAGAUAAGAAGCAUCAUGCUAUUGCUUAUGCCAGUAAAACUUUGACAGGAGCUCAACUUAACUAUGCAACCACUGAAAAAGAGCUUCUGGCUGUUGUCUUUGCCAUUGAUAAAUUUAGAUCUUAUUUAGUUGGAGCUAAAAUAAUUGUUUACACUAAUCAUGCUGCAUUAAAAUAUUUGCUCACUAAAAAAGAUGCUAAACCUCGCCUGAUUAGAUGGAUUUUAUUACUCCAAGAAUUUGACUUAGAAAUAAAAGAUAAAAAGGGAGUAGAAAAUUCUGUUGCUGAUCACUUGUCUAGAAUGUAUUUUAAGAGUCCACACGAAACCCCCAUCAAUGAUUCACUCCGGGACGACAUGCUCUACGGGAUUAACAGGUAUGACCCCUGGUAUGCAGAUAUUGUUAAUUUUAUGGUUUCAGGGUAUGUACCACCAGGAGCAAAUAAGAAGAAGCUUAUUCAAGAAAGUCGUUCACAUAUAUGGGAUGAGCCAUACCUCUUCCGAGUAUGCUCUGAUGGCUUACUCAGGAGAUGUGUGACCACUGAGGAAGGAUGGAAGAUCAUCGACAGAUGUCAUUCAUCACCAAAUGGAGGUCACUAUGGAGCAUUCCGUACACAUUCAAAGAUCUGGCAGUGUGGAUUCUAUUGGCCUACAAUGUAUGAAGACACGAAGCAAUAUAUCAGAAGAUGUGGGCCAUGUCAAAGACACGGAAACAUAAAUACAAGGGAUGCAAUGCCACUCACCAACAACCUUCAGAUUGAGCUCUUUGAUGUCUCGGGAAUAGACUACAUGGGUCCAUUUCCUCCAUCAAAGAAGUGCGAGUACAUCUUUGUGGCAGUUGACUAUGUCUCCAAGUGGGUAGAGGCAUUACCUUGCAAGCAUGCCGACAACGUCAAUUCAAAGAGGAUGUUUGAAGAAAUUAUAUUUCCAAGAUUUGGAGUUCCUAGAGUAGUGAUAAGUGAUGGAGGAGCACACUUCAUCGACAAACGCUUCAAGCAAUAUCUAUCAAGACAUGGAAUCCGUCACAACGUUGCUACCCCCUAUCAUCCUCAGACAAGUGGCCAAGCAGAGACUUCCAACAAACAAAUCAAGAAUAUCCUUCAGAAGACAGUAAAUGAAAUGGGAACGACAUGGAAAGAUAAGUUACCCGAUGCACUCUGGGCAUACCGGACAGCAUACAAGACCCCAAUUGGAAUGUCUCCAUACCAAUUGGUGUAUGGGAAGACUUGCCAUCUACCUGUUGAACUAGAGUUCAAAGCACACUGGGCCAUAAAGAGAUGGAAUAUGGACCUAGAUGUUGCUGGAGAUUAUAGAAGAAUGCAACUAUCAGAAUUGGAAGAAUGGCGAGAGAAGGCAUAUCACAAUUCAAAGAUCUACAAAGAAAGAGUCAAGAGGUGGCAUGACAAGAGAAUCAAGAAGAAGGAGUUCACACCCGGAGAUAAGGUAUUACUUUUUAAUUCCAGGGUGAAGCUUUUCGGGCAUGGAAAACUCCAGAGCAAAUGGGAAGGACCAUUCAAGGUAAUCAAUUCAUCAUCCCACGGAGCUAUCACACUUCAAAAUAGGGAAGGUACGUUAUUCAAGGUAAAUGGUCAACGUCUUAAAUUAUUUUUAGAGCCCAAUGAGGAAUUUGAAGAAAUAGACGUAGUCCAUUUUUACCUUCCCAUGGAGAAUUAGAGCCCGACACUUUUGGUCUGAUGAUUUUGGGUCAUAUAUAUAUUUUUCUAAAUAAUUCCGCAUCUAGAAACGCGCUCGGAGAAGUGGGCCCACAGAGGGGCCAGAGAGAGGGCGGGCGCCCAGGUCAAGUGGGCGGGCGCCCAGCCCCUGUUCCCCCUCGGUCCCGACUUUCUCUAUUAUGGAAAAUGCACUUAGGGUGAUCCGAAUAAUCCCUCGGAUGGAAAGUUUCGCACGCACGUCGACGGGAGCAACCCGAACAACCCAUAGAGGCACCCUUUUGACCCCUAUAUAAACAGACCCCUGACCUCAGUUUUCAAACACCAAGCCACCAAGCUUUCUCUCCUUCAAUUAGAGCUUGAUUAGCUCUCCUUCAAUUAGAGCUUGAUUAGCUCUCUUUCAAUUAAAGUUUUAUUAGUUCCUUGCUGUUCCAAUGGCCGAGAAGUACCACGAUGAUUGGGAAGUCGUCCCCUUCAACCUCAACAUGGAGCCUGUGGAGGACCCCGAUGCCCGUGCUCUCGUCCCGGCCACAACCCCUACUCCUCAAAGGAUCAUCAUCCAAGACGAAGACCACUAUCAAGGUGCCAACCGGCACAAGGAUCCUUCCACCUAGACCCAAUGAGAGGGUCGUUGGAGUCAAGACCAACCGGAGCGGCGAGAUCAGCAGUAUUCGCUACACUAUAGAGGAGGAAAGGCCUUACUUUGAAGGGAUUAGAGCAUCCAAAGUCCGUUUCAUCCCUCUGAAGGCAGCCCCGAAGCACUCUCUCAAUGCUUUUGAGACACCUCCCAAGUGUCGCAAGACUAUAAUGGAUAUUGAUGAGGAAGUUCGCAGGCUAGAUAGAGUUAUCAUAGACCUCCAGUCUUCGAUUAAUUCCCUCACUAGGCAGCUCUCUAACCACAACACCAUUAUACUAGGCCUUAGGCAGGAUCUUGCCAGUGCCAACAAGAAGAUCAAGGAAUUAGAGCGCCGCUAAGUUAUCUAGAUUAGACCUUGAGGCAAUGCAUCUUAGUCAUCUAUCUUUAAAUUCGGUUUAAGUUUGCUAUUAUCAGUUUGCUAUCAGUCUUUUAUAAUAAAUGCCUCAAGAUCAAUAAAGAGUAUUAUUAUUAUUAUUAUUAUGUCUUGUGUGUCUCUACUUUAUUUGUGUGCAAGAAAGCAGAAAACAAGUAUGGGGGAGAUCCCUCAACAUGCUAAACACACUCCGACUACACCACUCCACGAUUCAGGUACACACUCUGCACACUUUACUCUACACAUACAACUAUUUUGGAUUAUGCAGAAUAUUUUCCCCAACAUGAUAAAAUAAAAAGAUUAAAAUAUUUCUAAUCAUGAUUAAUCUCAAUCUGUGAUAUUUCCUGAAAACUUGCAAUUAUUAUAAAAUCAUUUUUAAAACCCUGUGUUACUUAAGUCAAUAUGGGAUAUGUGAGGGUAGAGUAUGAGUUUCUUUCUUGAUAUCAUUGUUACUUGGAGAAUUUAUUUCAAAAUAUUCAAAAUUCUAGCUACCAUCCUCAGUGUUUUAUAUACCUGAUAAAACUGAAAAUAUUAAUUAUGAUUAUAAAAGCUAUCUGCUCUGUAUUGAGUUUGUUCAAAAUGAGUUAGACCCUUGUUGAGAGAUUUAUCAUGCUCCUAAGAUCAAGACAUUAUUUCAGAAAGAUUCACUCUUCCGAAGUAUUAUUGCAUUAGAGGCAUGGGCUAUGCAAAAAUAGAGAUAUUUCGAGGAAAUAAAAAGGAGCAAGUGCUCGACAACCUCGCAGAAAAAAUGGACAAGUGUCCGGCAGUAGAAUUAGGGUUACCUCGGUAUCCACUUAAAAAAAAGAGAAAAAAUGAUAGCCCAUGGUCCCUCUAAUAAGCAAUAUGCCAGCAAGAGUUGACAAAGAUUUUAAUUUCCAAAGUCUUUGAUCUAAGAGUAUGACAUUCCCCUCCUCGGACCCCGUUUUGAUCAAGCAAUAAAUACAAAGUAAGUAUGCUUGAGAAUUUUUGCAAAAUAAAACAGCCUCAGUGAGAUAUAUAUAAAAGAUAAUGAGUGAUCUGAGAAGAACCUAUGAGGAUAAAAAGGUAUGCUAACUUUCUUUCAAAAAUAUACAAAAACUCCAAGUGAUAGGAUUGAGAAGAAAGGAUCUUUACUCUUAACCAUAAACUUCCCUCACUAUGGUACACAGUGGAUUUGUAACACCCUGCAAUUAUAAAAAGAAUGUUUUAAAUGUUUACCCCAGAUAUUGUUCUUAACCAUCCUUUUCUCGAGGACGAGUAAAAGCCUAAGUAUGGGGGUAUUUGUUGACGGUUCUUAAGUAUCAAUUUUAAUUAUCAAAUAAACAAGAGAAAGGACCAAUAUGCAACCAACACCUAGAAUUAGGGUUUGAUCUGACAGAAUUCCACGAGUUUUGUUGUUUAUCUGUUCUUGCAGGGGGUUAUCAGGAAAUAAGGAAGAAAGGCCCACAUGUCGGGAUUACAUAGAGAUAUCAAUGCACCGUGCAAUUUUACAUCAUCUAGAAGACUCCAGAAGCCACGGGAAGAAGACGGAGGCCGAAAGGGGCCAGGCCCAGGGCGCCCGCCCUGGUGGCCUGGGCGCCCGCCCCCCUCUGGAUCGAGAUCAGGACUCUCUUCGCUCGGGAUAUCCCAGCUAUGAGCUCCAGAUAUUAAAGCCUUAUUAGAGUAGGGUGAGAGAGAAGGCAAUGUCACUAUAUCUUAUACCACAAAUACUACAUAUAUUGAGAGAAGGCAUAUACCAUCACUGCCUUGGUAAGGAUCCAGAAAUACCACAAAAGAGAUAUUUGAGAGAAUCAUACAAGGAAUCUCUGAGUUUUAUUUGAAAAUCUGCAAAAACUCCAGAGCUAUAGCUGAUCAAGAAUAAGAGACAUGGCACUUGACUAGACUGUUCUAUCUUUUAACUACUCAAGACAGAAGUAACGGUUACAAGUCCCAUGGUGAAAGGUAAAGUAAGUAAGUUUUAAGUCUUGACAGUUUACUCUAACUCAGAGAUGAGAUCUUAUUUAAAAAAAAGCAUGUGUACCGUCAAUUUUGAAAGUAUUGCAGCAACCUCUAAUCCAUCACUGAGAGUAUCCUUGCUCAGGGACGAGUAAGAGGUAAGCCUGGGGGAGUUUGUUGAUGGUCCUUAAGUAUCAAAUUUAAUUAUCAAAUAAACAAAGAAAAGGAUCCAAAUGAAAUCAACAUCUAGACUUAGGGUUUUAUCUGACAGAAUUCCACGAGUUUUGGUGUUUGUCUAUUUCUGUAGGGGGUUAUCAGGAAAUACGGAAGAAAGACCCACAUGUCGGGAUUACAUAGAGAUAUUAACGUGCUGCGCAAUUAUCUUACAUCUAGAAGACUCCAGAAGCCACGGGAAGAAAGCGGAGGCCGAACGGAGCCAGAGGCAGGGCGCCCGCCCUCCUUCCCUAGGCGCCCGCCCUGACUUGGAGUCCAAUCAGGACUCUGUUUCGUGGGAGAUCUCCACCGACCUAAAGGAUCAAGGAUAACCGUUCAAUCAAUGUCGGUUUGAUCCAACGGCCCAUAUUCACUUGAAGGGACUAUAAAACCAGACCCCCUGGCCCCUGGAGGAGAGAGCCUCUCAACCCUAAUUCAUUAUUCUUCAAGGGAGAAGAAGCCUCUGAUCAAGAUUAGAGCCACCACAUCAAUUAGAUAUCUAGAUUAGCAUAGCUACAUAGGAUUAGAACUAGAAGGAGUCAAUCUUCGAUUGGUUUCCGGAUCUGUCAAGAGGAUUCUUGGUAAUUCUCUAAUUGUGCUUCUAAUUGCUUUCUAAUCAUCUUUGUUCUUCAAUAUUAUGAAUAUGACUUUGUUCUACUUCAAUAUAUUGCUUAUGACUUUGCUCUGCUUGUUUAUAUUCAAGAUUAUAUUGUUCUUAGUUUAUCAUAGUUAUGUACUUGGCUUAGUUAGAUUGGAUCUAUAUACAUGUUUAGCAUCGUAUAGCGUUUAUCCAUCGGAUCCAUGGGUAAAUGAUAGAUAUUGUGUAGGCGUGGUGCUUAUACCGUAUUUAUCUGCGAUUGUACCCAAUAUGCCAGAUCGUGGGGUAGUUCGUGGUAGUGACAGCUUCAUUGAUUCUUAUAUAGUCCCCCUCUCGUGUAUUGGGCUGGCAGAGCAAUAUUAUUGCAGGAGAGUGAUUGCGAUGUUUCUCAUUUAUCUUGCUAAUAUCACUAUGCAUGGGCGUAGUCUUGUCUCGCAAUGAUUGCUAAGUAUGCUUGCACUAACUAUGAUAAUGCUAGACUAUAUAGUUGAGAAUAACUUAGGAAAUAUUCUUGUAGUUCGUUCUAAUUCCAUGCUAAUGACUUUCUAGAGUAUCUAAUUGAGGUGCUUAUCAUAUUUAUUAUGUGGCUAAGUUAUGAUCAGAUUAAUUAUCUUUGUCACUAUUUAUUAUUUCAUAUAUCUUUUAUGUGACACUUAUCUCUGUAUGAAAGAUUCUCAAUUAUAUAUGCAAUGAUAGAUACUCAAUCUCAUAUUCUAUUCUGUAAUCAAUAUUGAUGAUUGCUAAUCCCUUCCCAGUGGUAAAAAUAUAAAUAACGAUACCUGGAAUACUUCCCGGUUAAAAUGCUACAUCGGUAUUAAUCUGUGCGCUUGCAGAUCCCAUUCAUUAUUUAUUUAGAAGAGCGAUUGCAUAUUUCAAUACGGCGUCUCUCAUGUCAUGCUGGGGAUGACAACUUGGCUUAAGUGGUAUGAGGGAUAGGUUUGGCAUUUUUGGCACCGUUACUAGAAUUAGAAAACUGUCUACUUUUGGUAAUGAUGUUAAGAAUACCCAACAUAUAGUAGUAGUAUAGAGGAGCACAGUUCAAAAAAUACCAUCAAUUCAAAAUUAUGCCAGUAAGCCACCACAAAUAGUAGUAGACAGCAGUGGCGUAUAAGCAGCCUGCUAUAUAAACAACAGUAAUUAUGCCUCAGUAUAUAAAACUAUCAUGAUGUAUGAUUAGUACAGAGUAGUAGUACAGUUGGAGUACAAAAGCAGUAGUAGUAGGAUUGGACAGUAAGCCACCACAAAUCAUCACAAUUGGACAGUAAUGAUGCAUGCUGCAUUCACGGUUCUAAACUCGAGCAAACACAAACACUACUAGUAGCUAAAAAAAUUCAGUGUUAAUGAUGCAUCAAAUAUCUACUACUAUCCAGAUCAUCAAAUCAUUGUCUAUCAACAAUACACACUAAUAAAAACCCUAACACUAUCCAGAUCAUCAAAUCUCUUAGAAAUUAGAUAGAACGAAUAGAUAGCUAUUAGCAAUUAAAAUUAACCGCAGAUGCUUUCAACCAAAUCACAGAUUAUACACCAUUCUCAAAUAUAUGUAAUUUAUGAAUGCUUUACACACUAAACUCUGAAUCUAUGAUAUACAAAACUGGUGUGGUAUGACACAGAAAUGAUAUUAGCAGAUAUCAAAUUCUUAGAUAUCAGGACAGAGAUACAAGAUAGUCUGAUAUUAUUAAUUGCACAAAAUAGUCUGAUAAAUUCUUGUAUCUCUGUCCUGAUAAAAUAUAUUAAUUUCAUCUCUGCUAGGAACUGAUGGAAUACAAUUUUGCAUGUCUCAAAUAUCACAAAUCCUACUGUUAAAGCACAAACAUGAGACUGGAUCAGAGACUGGAUCAGAUAGCUUGGGGUUACCUGCGCCGGAACGAGAUGAGAUCAGUCGCGCGCGUUUGUGUGGUGUUGGAGGCGACAGGAAGAAGACACGGGCGGCCAAGUCGCCACGCGUGGAUCUCCGGCCCACCAACGACGUCUAGGGUUCGCGGACAGAGCAGGUCGCCAAGGUCGUAGACGGAGCAGGUCGCCAAGCUCGCGGAAGAAGAGGGACGACGGAGCUCCCCGGCUUGUGGAUGCGCGCGGGCGGUCCGCCGUGCGCGGAUCUCUAGCUCCCAGCAGCGGCUAGUGUUCUGACCGGCCGGUGACCUGUAGCGGAGUGGUGCGCGGCACGAGGACCGGCGAAGGGGGAGGAGAGCUCGGGGAGUGGAGGAGGCAGAGGCGAAAGGGGGAGGAGUGCUCGCGGCUGUGGCUGCGGCGGCUAGGGUUCCGACCGGCCGGUGACUUGUAGCGGAGUGGUGCGCGGCACGGGGAUCGGCGAAGGGGGGGAGGAGACCUCGGGGAGUGGAGGAGGCGGAGGCGAAGGGGGGGAGGAGUGCUCGCGGCUAUGGCUGCUGUGGCUAGGGUUCUGACCGGCCGGUGACCUGUAGCGGAGUGGUGCGCGGCACGAGGACCGGCGAAGGGGGAGGAGAGCUCGGGGAGUGGAGGAGGCAGAGGCGAAAGGGGGAGGAGUGCUCGCGGCUGUGGCUGCGGCGGCUAGGGUUCCGACCGGCCGGUGACUUGUAGCGGAGUGGUGCGCGGCACGGGGACCGGCGAAGGGGGGGAGGAAAGCUCGGGGAGUGGAGGAGGCGGAGGCGAAGGGGGGAGGAGUGCUCGCAGCUGUGGCUGCGGCGGCGCCGGCGGGCGAGUUUGGCAGCCUGGCGGCGGCGUAAGAAGAAGAGAGUCACGCCCAGGACUUAGCCGAAUAGCCCUAGCGGCGGCGGCCACUAUUUAUUUAGGGCACGAGCACUGUAAGGGCGGUUGAGGUCUAGAACCGCCCUUACAGUGGGUUUAUUCAGAAUUUUAAUUUUUUUAAAUAGAAUAGAUUUAAACAAUUGUCUAUAUGAAGUGUAUAAUUUUGAACUGUAUAAUUUUGAAGUGUAUAAUUUUGAUUUAUUUAUAUGAAGUGUAUAGUUUUGAACUAUUCCAUGUUUUUUAAAAAAAUAAAAAUCAAGUUUUUAGAAAUAAAAAUCAAAUUUAUGUAAAUUUGAAUAAUUUGAAACAGUUUUAAUUUGAAAAUUUUGAAUAAAACAUUCGAUUUCAUUUGAGUUAUUUUAUUGCCUAGUUUGACCUAGUUUGAUCAAGUCAAACAUUGGAUUUUUGACAAAAUACACUUUGACCGGACCCGAGAUGGUCUCAGAUGCAAAAGUCAUGAAUACAAAGUUUGUUCCCCUUAUCAAGAUACACAUUUGGUGUAAUGGUCAACUUUUCAUCUCAGAUGGUUUGGACCACGAAAAUUUUGAAAUUUCAAAUUUUCACUGCUACACGCACGUUUUCAGGACCCUACACGGCCCCAACUCCGAAAGUCAUGAAUAGCAAGUUUGUUCCACUCAUCAAGAUCUACAUUUGAUAUAUAGGACAUUUUUGCAUUUGAAAAAGCGUUAAGAAAGUGCAGUUCUAAGUCCACAAGUCCCACAUAUAGUUUCAUAAAGUCUAUGUGUGAUUCAAGACUUUGUGGCUAGAGUUUACAAACACUUUCGCAAAUGCAAAAAUGUCCUAUGUAUGAAAUGUGUAUCUUGAUGAGGUCUAACUACGUUGUAUUCAAAAGGUUUUCAUUUGAGGUCAUUUACUACCUUGUUUGACCAGCUUUGACAAAGCCACGCCUUGGGUUUUCAAAACAUGUGAACUGAGUUUACUAUAACUUUUCCAAAUGCAAAAAUGUAUUAUGUAUUAAAGGUAGACCUUGAUGAGGUCUAACUAUGUUGUAUUCAAAUUUUUUUCAUUUGAGUUAUUUUAUUGCCUAGUUUGACCUAGUUUGACCAAGUCAAACAUUGGAUUUUUGACAAAAUACACUUUGACCGGACCCGAGAUGGUCUUAGAUGCAAAAGUCAUGAAUACAAAGUUUGUUCCCCUUAUCAAGAUCUACAUUUGAUAUAUAGGACAUUUUUGCAUUUGACAAAGCGUUAAGAAAGUGCAGUUCUAAAUCCACAAGUCCCACAUGUAGUUUCAUAAAGUCUAUGUGUGAUUCAAGACUUUGUGACUAGAGUUUACAAACACUUUCUCAAUUGCAAAAAUGUCCUAUGUAUGAAAUGUGUAUCUUGAUGAGCUCUAACUACCUUGUAUUCAAAUGUUUUUCAUUUGAGGUCAUUUACUCCCUUGUUUGACCAGCUUUGACCAAGCCACGCCUUGGGUUUUCAAAACAUGUGAACUGAGUUUACUAUAACUUUUCCAAAUGCAAAAAUGUAUUGUGUAUCAAAGGUAGACCUUGAUGAGGUCUAACUAUGUUGUAUUCAAAUUUUUUUCAUUUAAGUUAUUUUAUUGACUAGUUUGACCUAGUUUGACCAAGUCAAACAUUGGAUUUUUGACAAAAUACACUUUGACCGGACCCGAGAUGGUCUCAGAUGCAAAAGUCAUGAAUAUAAAGUUUGUUCCCCUUAUCAAGAUACACAUUUGGUGUAAUGGUCAACUUUUCAUCUGAGAUGGUUUGGACCACGAAAAAUUUGAAAUUUCAAAUUUUCACUACUACACGCACGUUUUCGGGACCCUAGACGGCCCCAACUCCGAAAGUCAUGAAUAGCAAGUUUGUUCCACUCAUAAGGAUCUACAUUUGAUAUAUAGGACAUUUUGCAUUUGACAAAGCGUUAAGAAAGUGCAGUUCUAAAUCCACAAGUCUCACCCACAUACAUAAAUGUAGUCUCACACGCAUACAUAAAUGUAGUCUCACAUGCAUACAUAAAUAAAGUCUCACACACAUACAAAUGACUAUUUAUUAGUAUCCGCUGCCGUAACAGUUUUCCACUUCACACCUUUUCGUUCCCAUGGCAAUACGUCUUUGGGUAGGUUUUUUUCCACAACACCGAUCUUGUUAAUAAAGUCUGUGAAUAGCGGCAUCUGAUCGCACUUAUUGUAGGCUUCAACAUCAUCAACGCCAUCAACUCCGAUAAUGUGUUUUUUCCAGGGAUAACCACAUGCUUAGGUUUCUUCUUUGGGGGGACAAUGCUGAGCGGGUCGGUCAUAUAGAAAACCUGUGUAACAUGUGAAGCAAGAACCCAUGGAUCAUCCUGGUAGCCUAUGUUGUGAAGGUCCACGACCCUCAAUCCGAUUUCAUUGAAUUCAUGUUGCUUGAUCCAGCGACAUCGAAAGAGGGCCACAUUUAGUGCCUCGGUUCCAUAGUCAAGUUCCCAUAUAUCUUCAAUUAUGCCAAAGUAGUCGAUCUUUUGUCCCCCUGCGCCGAUAGCCACGGCUCGAACACCACUGUUUUCACACAUUUACUAUUCUUUGCGUGGGUGUAGUAUGUGUACCCAUUGAUCUCAUAAGAACUCUAAGAUGUCACCUAUCUUGAUGGCCCCGCUGCCAACUUACUGAUGGUAAUAGAAUCUAUGGUUUCUCCAGGCUGUAUGUUUUGGUCCUUCAACCAUGAAGUUAGGCGUUGCUUGUGUUGUUUCAUGACCCAAUCACAUGUACGACCAUUUCUCUCUGAUUGGAUGAUCUUCAUGUGUUCAUCAAUAUAUGGUUCCAUCAGUUUUGUGCUCACCAAGACAGCGUAGUGCGCCCGACUCACUUCUACGUAUUCAUUGCUGAUGAAGAUUUUUCUACCAUUUGUGCCCUUCCCGGCCAGCCUACCCUUGUAGUGAGAAUCGGGAAUACCAAUCCCUCUCUGUACUUUUAGGUACUCUUGACAGCACUCGAUGACUUCUUCACUACUGUAGCCCUCUAUCAUAGAGCCCUCUGGGUAUGCACGAUUAUGCACAUAUCGACUUAGAACCGACAUGAACCGCUCAUACGACCACAUUUCAUGCAAGUAGCAAGGGCCCAACGCCUGUAUCUGAUGAACCAUGUGAAUCAUGAGAUGUACCAUAGGGUCGAAGAAAGCGGGAGGUAAACACAUCUCUAGUUGUUUUUGGGUCCCUACGACAAAAUCAUGUAGGUCACUCAGCUCUGUCUUGCUAAUCUUCUUCUGUGAGAUCUUCGACCAGAAGUAGCACAUGCGGGUGCUAGCCAUCUUCAAAAACUCUUGCUUGAUAGCCCUUAUUGCGAUUGGUAGGAACACCGUCAGCAUCAUAUGACAAUCGUGAGCCCUGUAGUGUGGAAAUGAUAGGUCCUUCAUUGACACUAGCUUCUUCGGGUUUGCUGAAAACCCAGUCGGGUCUUUGAUCCCCUUCACAGAAGUGCAUAAACCUCUCCUCUCUUCUAGGUCCAGGUUGUAGCUAGCCGCGGGUAGGGUGUAUUUUCUAGUUUUUGUCUCAAGUACUGGGUGAAGCUCUGGCAUCACAUGUAGCUGCUCCAUGUCUCUCCUUGCUUUGAGACUAUCCUUUGACUUCGGUGUGUCCAUCAAGGUAGCGAUGAGACUCUCAAAGACAUUCUUCUGCACAUGCAUAGCAUCAAUGGCAUGGGGGACCUCCAAUUGUGGCCAAUAUUCAAGAUACUGAAAGAAGAUUGACUUUUUCUUAAAAGGCACGCCUUCAAUAGGAGGUGUGCUUCUAUCUCUAGGUAUUCCAUCCAUUUUCUUCUUUCCAUAGAUGACGCUUAUAUUUUUUACCAUUUGAAACACAUAUUGUCCAUCAUGACGUCUCUCCGGAGGUCGAUCUUCAUCCUCUGGGAUGUUGCCAAAAUACUUUAAGUAUAGUUUGCUGUGGUACUUGUGACCUUGCUCUAAAAAGCAACGAUUCCUGAUGUAAAUAGUCUUCUUAGAUCCAUCUAGGUACACCCAUUUAGUAUCAUCCAGACAGACUAAGCAUCCUAUCUUGCCUUUGAUUUGUCCAGACAAGGCAAACAAUGCAGGGUGGUCGUUGAUAGUCACAAAUAUUAUUGCUCUUAAUGUGAAGGUCUCCUUUUGGAAAGCAUCAUACAUCAGCUCCCCUGUCCUCCAUAGUUUCUCGAAUUCUUCCAUCACAGGCUCGAGGAACACGUCCAUAUCAAAGCCUGGUUGCUGAGGGCCAGAAACAAGAACAGUGAGGAAAAGAUACUUUCUCUUCUGACACAACCACGUUGGGAUGUUGUACAUGGUCAAGAUCACUGGCCAAGUGCUAUGGUUGCUCGUCCUCUCGUUGAAGAGAUUCAUUCCAUCAGUGCUCAAGGCAAACCGUACAUUCCUUGGGUCCGAACUAAACAGUGGGUUGUUAUUAUCGAAGUCCUACCACUGACUGCCAUCGGCCGGGUGUGCAAUCACAUCGUCAUCGACCUUGCGCUCAUCGUCCCACCAUGUCAUGAGCGCGGCUUCCUUAGGGUUCAGGAAAAUACGCCUCAAGCGGUCGGUCACUGGCAGAUACCACAUUACCAAGGCAGGAAUUUUUCUCUUCUUUGCGUCGUUGCCUAAUGGGGUGUCCUCUGGAGGUCGAGAUUCUUGUACCACCUUUUUGGAACCCUUCUUACUCCUCUUGUUCCCGGUGGAGGCUUCUCCGCCACUAUAAAGGUCAUUGUCCUUGUACCGACUUGCCCCACAACAAGGACAUUUAUCCAGACCUUCGAACAUUUUAUCACGAAAAGGAUACAAUGGUUGGGCCAUGCAUGGAUCUUUUCAACACCCAUUGUCAAUGGACUUAUGACCUUCUUAGCAUGGUAUGUGUUGGAGGGAACUAAGUUCGGCAGUGGCAGUACAGAUGACAGAAGAUGCAACAGAUCGUCAAAACUGCAGUCUGACCAGCCGUACUUAGCCUUCAGGAUGAGUAGCUCAAGCACAAAACGGAGCAGUGUCCAAUGUGUUGGACAACCCUUCUCAACACCAUACACAGUCUCCUUUGACGCUGUUUUCACCCGUUCUAGAUUUUCUAGACCCUUCUUCUGUUGUAGUAUUUCUGGUCCAAUGGCCCGAAGCAUUUCCUCUAAGUUGUCAAAGUUUUCUGCAUCCCCCUCACAUGCUCCAACAUCAUUAUUGUCAACACCGCCAACAUCCCCAUCAUUAUUGUCGACACCACCGGCAUCAUCACCACGUGCUUGUUGAUUUGCUGAAUCAUGUUGCAUUUGUGCUUCAAACAUGUCUGCGUAUUGGGACAACAAUUGGCCUUCUUCAGCAUCGUCUUCUUGGUCAUCAUCGUUGCCAUCAAGAAACAUUACUUCACCAUGAUGAAGCCAUACUGUGUAGUUCGGGACAAAUCCUCGCCUAAUCAGAUGUGAUCUGAUGAUUUCCACAUCAUAAGUUGCUAAGUGGUUCUUGCAAUCUUUACAGGGACAAAUAACUGAACAAUUAUUUCUUGCUGACAACGUCUUUGCAUGAUUCACCGCGAUUGUAAUAAAUUUGUCCACCUCAUCAGCAUAGGCUUGUGAGUACCUUGGCAAACCAUACAUCCAAGUAGCCCUAUUCUCCAUCUUUACAUAAAUAAAAAAAUUAAUUAGUUGAGAAUAAUUAUUAGCAACAAUUAAUAAGUAACAAUUAUUAUCUACCAUUAUUAGCAUCAAUUAGUAGCUAUCAUUAUUAGCAAUAAUUGUGUUAGAAAUGAUUAUUAGACAUAAUUAAUAGUACCAAUUAUUAUCUACCAUUAUUAGCAACAAUUAAUAAGUAACAAUUAUUAUCUACCAUUAUUAGCAACUAUUAUUAGCUAUCAUUAUUAGCAAUAAUUGUGUUAGAAAUGAUUCUUAGUCAUAAUUAAUAGUACCAAUUAUUAUCUACCAUUAUUAGCAACAAUUAAUAAGUAACAAUUAUUAUCUACCAUUAUUAGCAACAAUUAGUAGCUAUCAUUAUUAGCAAUAAUUGUGUUAGAAAUGAUUAUUAGACAUAAUUAAUAGUACCAAUUAUUAUCUACAAUUAUUAGCAACAAUUAAUAAGUAACAAUUAUUAUCUACCAUUAUUAGCAACAAUUAAUAAGUAACAAUUAUUAUCUACCAUUAUUAGCAACAAUUAUUAGCUAUCAUUAUUAGUAAUAAUUGUGUUAGAAAUGAUUAUUAGACAUAAUUAAUAUUACCAAUUAUUAUCUACCAUUAUUAGAAACAAUUAAUAUUAACCACAACUAUUAGUUUACCAAUAACUAUUCAUGCCAACCACAUUCCAAAUUCAUGAAACAAAAACAAAAAAAGGAAACCCUAGAUCUAGAAUGUCUUUUCUCUCCAUACAAGAAACUACAAUUAAUCUCCAUUAAAAUCAAGCUAUAUCACCUAAUUGAUGGUGCAAGGUGGUGUCUCUACCUAUUCUACACAAAAAGCAUCAUAGAUAAGCUCUAAUUUGGUCAACACAAAGCUCAAGAUCCAUGGAAGAGAGAGAAAACCAAAAUGUAAAUUGCUCACUAACCAACCAAUAAAACUUGGAUUAGAGGGUGGGAAUAGCAGUUUCUUACCUUAAACAAGCUCCCCACCAAAGGAUUUAAGUUCAAAACCUCCCCCCUUACUAGAGUGAUUUUAGGGAGGUGCCCAAGGCCUCCCAAGCCUUUUUUUGCGAGUGGAAGUGAGUGGCUCGGGGAGGAAGAAGAGUGGGCUGGCCAAUUAUGCUACAGACCACUGUAGGGGCGGCUGGUGUUACCAGCCACCCCUACAGUGUCCCCCCACUGUAAGGGCGGCUGGUAACACCAGCCGCCCCUACAGUGAACACUGUAAGGGCGGUUAGCUUCCUGGUUCCUGGCCCAUCCACUGUAAGAGCGGUUCAAAUGUUAGCCGCCCCUACAGUGUGGGGGGGGGCGCUCUCUUAUUAAGUUUUUCAUGUAGUGAUGGUUGCAUCGGACGAGUAGAGAUGUGCAGGAUAUUUUUUGGGCAGUCUUUUUGAGGUUGUCGCUUGGGUUGUUUUUUUCAAAAGUUAUAUUUAUAGUUGUCUUGAUCAAUCUAUUACAGUGUUACGGAGUUGUCAAAAAUCACAUUAUUUGUGUGAUAUCAGAGUGUUCUCGAUUUUUGGUAAAUCACUACUACACAAAUGAUUUUAGGAGGCAGUGCCAAAAUAUUAAUAGAGGCGGGCAUAAAAUUCAACCGUCUUAUAAUGCUUUGAUAUUAGUAGACACAAAAUGUAAAUGUAUGUAUAAGAUUAUAUAAAUGUAUGUAUAAGAUUAUCUCUAUGUAUUUCUUAUCAAACUCAAUUAAAUCUCGCCGAGAUGAGUGUUCUCACCGAGUCCCUCCCAUCCCGCUCCUCCUGAUGGCGCCCGAUCCUCCUAGCGGCCAUGGCGGGGCUCUCCGAUCUUUGCUUCGGCUUAGGCAUCAAGUUUGCUAUGCUUGUUUCACAGCAAUUUGGUUGCUCAGUGAGUCCCACCUCUCCCCUCGCUCCCUCCUCCUUCCAUCUGGUCUCAAGCUUUGGUCGAUCCACUGUUCGUCUUAAUGUUGAUUCAGUGAGUCUCAUCCUUCAAGCUUGCCUUGGUGGCAAUGCUAAAGAUUACAAUGUUAACCAUCUUUCUGGUUUCAUGAUCUGCAAACUUAGGAAUCAUUCUUGCAAAACCUUUCUCAACUUCUUUCAUCUUUGGAGUGGAGGACCAAAUUGGCGAAGAGAUUUUGUUCUCUGGCAACAAGAGCAAGAAGCUGAAUGGAAUUUUGUUGGUCCCAAGUUCAAAAAAUCCUAUGCUGAUACUGUUAAAUCAAACACCAAAAAUACCAGUUUUCUUGCGCUUGUCUUAUCCUACAAAUUAUGCAUCUAAUUUUUUGAAUCCCCCCUCACAGAGCAACAUUAGCUUUUGACAAGAAUUCCCAUCGCCAUGUUCAUAACUGUGGUUUGAAUUCACAAACUGCUAUUAAGCCUGUUACAGGCUUCCAAAAACCUCCCCUCAAAGGCAUCCCUAGAUGGGUCAGAAGGGGCAGUACUCACAAUCGUGUGACAGUUACGGCUAUGCCUUCGGCCUCAAAUUCAAAAAAUCUUCCUAUUUUAGCAACUCCAGGCCCUACCCUAUCGGCGUCGUUGAUUGAGUGCAGUAACUGCUUGGGCCUGGGCCAUGCAAGGAAGGAUUGCCAAUUCGGUAAGGUGUCGUCUCUGAUGGAAUUAUGGACAUUUCUCUAAACAUUGCCUUAACAAGAAAUGUGACAAAUGGAAAUAUAGGGAGGUUUCCCGUCUAGAAGGCGAAGGGUCACAUAGCAAGGAUACUUAUACCAGGAAGCCCCCUGCUCUCGAGACCUCCGUCCCUCUUCUCCCCCCAAAACACUGUUCAUCCAAGAAACCUCAAUCUCAGAAUGGCGAUCUGGGCUUGUUAUCCCCGCCCAUUCAUCCCUACUGGCUUCACUCUUGAAGAUCGAUCCCAUCAUCCCCACCUUCGUCAAGAGGUGUUCCUCACUGGCUACUGCUCAACCCGCCGGUGGACAAUAGAGAUUUCAAGGACCUAGCCGAAGGACUACGCACCUUCUUCCAUGAGGUGCAUCAGGUUCGCACCACAGAGAUCCUUCCCUAUGCUCUAGGAGAUGCUUAUGUCAGAUUUUUGAGUCCACUAGACAGAGAGCGAUUUAUGGGUCCUAUCUUUCAGUUUGGUAACUAUGCAAUGUCCCUAGUUAAACAUGAUGCUGCUAAGAAUGCAUGUCCUUUCAGUUAGAUCAUGAAGCCUAGGUCUUGCUUGUAGCUUUCCUAGAAGACCUCAAAAUUUCAGCUAUGGUUGCUAGGGCAGUCUUUGAUUUUGGGAUAAUGAUAGACUUGCAUGAGAUGGAAAAUGUAGCUAAAGUUGUUGUCAAGGUGUAUCUGAAUGAUGAUGCAAAAAUUUUAGACUCUAUAAAAGUUAAUGCAAGGGUCCCUCAAACAGGCAGAUCCUGGACUGUUCCUUGCUACGUCCUGAAGAGACACAGUGUGCAAGAGUUGAUGGAUGAAGAUGCUUUUGUCACUGUUGGACCCCUACAUCAGCCAGAAUAUGCAGGUUGAUGGUGGUGACCGUGGCUGUUGGCAACACCACAUUGCACCUAGAGACGUUGACCCAGAACGCACUAUCAGCCAGAAUAUGGACCCCAUCCCAGAAGAGAGGACUGGUCCAACCAUCAAUAUAAGAAAUACUACUCCAAUGUCUAAUAUGAAAUCUAUCAUUGUUGGCCCCUCUGCUGCUAGGGAACCAUUGAUUAGUGUGAUCCCUUCUCUCCUAAAAGAAAAGGUAACCAACAUCAUUUACAUCUCAUCUCCAUCUGCUCCCUUUAGAUUCAUCGAGCUUCUAAUUAUUGAUCAUAGCACUCUCAUCCUUGACUAUUUCAAUGAUUCUCAUCUCCUAAUUCAUUUGGCAUUCGCUCUCUAUCCUCAGUUUGGAGAUCAUGCAUUGAAGAAGAUUGUCCUAGACUAUUUGGAUACUGAGGAAGGCACCGAUGAGAUAGAGUCUGACCCCAAGAUGAUAGUUGCUAAUAAGUGUAGUUAAGGAGAAUCCGAGGAAGACAUUGCAAUUCUAGAAGAUGCUGCAGCAAUCUUCAUGACACCAAAGAAGAAGAAGGCCUCCAAGGUCAAGGAACAGCUGGAUGAUAGCUUUCUGAGGCGCAACAAAAGACUCUCAACCAAGUCUGAAGGUUUCAAGGCUGCCAAGAGUGCAAGGAAUGCCAGAGAGUACUAAAGACAAAGCCAAUCAAAGCAGCAAGAAGUCCAAGAUAUCCAAGAAGAACAAGAAACAUGUUGAGGUUGAGGAGGAACCAGUGCUCCUUGCCAUGAUACCUCCUCCUAGCUUUGCUCCAGCUCCACACCUGCUUCCUUCAGAUUCAGCCUGAGAGUGUCUCAGCUGCUCUCCAAAAGCAAGAUGACAUUGAUGAAUAGGAUGCAUGAUAUCUCCUGUGUACCUGCUCGGCAUGUGAUGCACAACGUUGCCCCUUUUGCUUACUUUCCUAUUAGCACCUAUCCCCAGUCUGCAUACUAGCUAAAUAAUUUUAAUAUCAUCUACUGUAUCUGGUGUGGUGACACCUGUUUUUGCUUAAUAUUGACUUUGUCUAAUGAUGUCUGCCUUUAUUACUUAUCUAUCUCAAUCUAUGGAUUCAAGCUAUUUGCCUGCUCCAUCCUGCCCCCUCCCCCAGUCUCGAUAUAUGAAAUGCUCAUUUGUCAACUCAUUUUGCUUUGGGUCCUGGAAUCCCAAUGCCCCUUUAUCCCUACCACUGUUCCUUUAUGGAUAACAAUAGAUAUACAAAGGUCCUAUUUUGGAACAUAAGCGGGAUUAACUCCAAGGAAAAAUGGGAUGCCAUCAGUGAUAAAAUAAACGAAAGUGCCUACCAUAUCCUAUGCUUACAGGAGACCAAAAGAGAAGUUUUUGAUCCUUUAUAUCCAAAAAAGUUCUGCCUAAGAAGUCUAGACAGCUUUGCCUUCUCUGCCUCCAUUGGAGCUUUUGGAGGACUCCAGACUGUUUGCAAUAGCAACCUUUUCGAUGGAAUUGUUGUACAAUCCAACUCAUAUGCUAUCACCAUAAAGCUUCUAUGCAGAACUAACAAGAAAUGUAUACAUAUAACCAAUGUCUAUGGCCCCUCCAAUCCAACUCAGAAAAUGUCCUUUGCAACUUGGCUCAUGAAUCUGGAAACUGAGAACUAUGAGAACUGGGUUCUAGGAGGUGAUUUUAACCUUAUCAGAAACCCAGAAAAUAGAAAUAUAAACCAGGUGGUGAUCUGGGAGAGAUGAACCUCUUCAAUGAGUUGAUCUUAGAUUUGGACCUUGCUGAAAUACCCUUCAGUGGAAGAAGCUACACCUGGAGUACCAUGCAGUCAGACCCCCUCCUUGUCAAACUUGACUGGGUCUUCACCUCUAGUAGCUAGACCUCAUCCUUCCCUGCAACCUUUGUCGAACCUCUGUCUAGACCCAUUUCUGAUCACAUACCCUUUGUGCUCCACAUUGGCAGUAGGAUACCAAGAUCAAACAUGUUCAGAUUUGAAAACUUUUGGAUCCAACAUCUAGGCUUCUUGGAAACAGUUAGUCUCCAUUGGAACAACUCCCCAUUCUAUGGUAAUGCUGCCAAAAAAUUGUCCUCCAAACUUGAACAUGUUAGAGCUGGUCUAAAAUCUUGGAGUAAAGGUCUCUCUAACUUAAAUAAACUCAUCUAUAACUGCAAGUGGGUUCUGCAUCUUCUUGAUGGACUAGAAGAUCAAUAAAAUCUCUCAAGAAUGGAAAGAAACUUCAGAUUCUGGUGAAAGAACAUCUGUCAGAUCUUCUUGAAUCCAAGAGAAUUUACUAGAGGCAACGCAAUAAAACGCGGUGGGUUAAACUUGGUGACGAGAAUACUGAAUUCUUCCAUAGCAUUGCCACCAUCACUCAUAAAAGAAACUUCAUUGUAGCCCUCUGUGAUGAUAAUGACAAUCAGCUCACUGAUCAUGAACAUAAAGCAAAUCUUUUAUGGACCUCCUUCAAGGAAAGACUUAGGAACAGUGAUUUGACCAGUAUGUCCUAUGACUUAGGAUCUACCCUUCAUGAACAUGAUCUUGAUGGCAUCAACAGUGAUUUUAAUCAGGAAGAAAUUGACCUUGUCAUUAGAACCCUCCCAAACAACCAUGCACCUAGUCCAGAUGGUUUCAAUGGUCUCUUUAUUAAAAAGAUGCUAGCCUAUCAUAAAAGAGGAUUUCACUAGACUACUAAAAGAUUUCAGCAAUAACAAUGUUGACAUCAGUAGUGUCAACUCUUCAGUCAUUGCCCUUAUUCCCAAGAAGGAUAACCUAGAAAAGGUUGAUGACUUUAGACCAAUCUCUCUGCUCAAUUAUAGCCUCAAAUGUAUCACGAAGAUUCUCUCCAGCAGACUUCAGAGGGUAAUCCCUGAUCUUGUCCAUCAAAACCAAUAUGGUUUCAUAAAAUGCAGAACCAUCCAAGACUGCCUAGCUUGGGCUUUCUAGUUCCUACAUCUCUGCCACCAUUCCAAAAGAGAAAUAGUAAUCCUAAAACUUGACUUUGAGAAGGUUUUUUGACAAAGUGGAACAUCAAGUCAUCCUUGAUGUCAUGAAGCACAAAGGCUUCCUAGCCAAAUGGAUCAAAUGGAUUGAAAACAUACUAGGCUCAGGAUCAUCUUCUAUCCUACUCAAUGGAAUUCCUAGAAAAACAUUCAAAUGCAAAAGAGGUGUGAGACAAGGUGAUCCCCUCUCUCCUCUUCUCUUUGUCCUUGAUGCUGAUUUUUUAGAGAGCAUUGUUAAUAAAGCUUGGCUAAUGGGAGUCCUGACUCAUCCUAUCUCUGAUAACUUUGGGGGUGAUUUCCCCAUUCUUCAAUAUGUUGAUGACACUUUGCUCAUUUUGCCUGGUGAUGCUAAGACUCUCUUUAACCUGAAAGGCAUCUUGAGAUCUUUCUCUGACUCCUAUGGCUUACAUGUAAAUUUCAACAAGUCCUUCCUAGUACCUAUCAACAUGACAAAUAGCAAAGCUCAACAUCUCGUCCAGCCUUUUGGAUGUUGGCUGGGAUCAAUGCCCUUUACCUAUUUGGGCCUCCCCCUGGGCACUACUAAGCCAACUAUCCAAGACUUCACCACUCUCCUCAAUAGGAUUGAAAGGAGACUCUCUGGUUUCAGCAGACUUUUAUCAUAUGACGGAAGACUAAUAUUGGUUAACUUAGUUCUCACUGCUCUGCCAUAUUCUACAUGUGCAGUCUUGAACUCCCUCCACAGGUUGUAAAACAAAUCGAUAUCUACAGAAAACAUUGCCUUUGGAGCAAGGGUGACAUUAAUAGAAAAGGUUCAUGUCUAGUAGCAUGGGAAAUAACCUGCAAACUCAAAAAUCAGGGGGGACCUGGUAUCAUAGAUAAUGAGAAGCAGAAUCAUGCACUCCUAAUGAAACAUUUGAAUAGCUUUUACAACCAUCAUGACCUCCCUUGGGUGAAUUUGACUUGGUCCAAACUCUACUGCAGUAGUCAAACACCCCCGCAUGCAAGAUGGCCGGUUGGAUCCUUCUGGUGGAAAGAUGUGCUGAAGCUAUUUAUUUCCUUCAAAAGCCUUACAAUUUGCAGCCCUAGCAGAGGAAAUAGUGAUCUCUUCUGGUCAGGAUCCUAGAGUUCCCUACCCUUAAAAGAGAAAUACCCCCAACUUUACUCGUUCAGUAAGAAGAACAAAUGUUCCAUUAGAUACUACUUGGACAGUGACAUAGAAGCUAACUUCAGUCUACCCCUCUCAAAUCAAGCUACUGAACAACUAAAAAUGCUCCUAGAAUUUGAGUUGGAUAAAUGAUGGGAUGAGAACACUACUGAAACAUGGAGCUAUUCCUCUAGAAACACAACAUUUAGCAGUAAAAAAACCUAUAGUCUCUGAUAGAAAAUACAGUGGUGUCACCCCUAUUCCCUUGGCUUUGGGGCUCAAUUAAUUUGGGAAAAUACAAAUUCUUCUUUUGGCUUCUCAUUCGGGAUUGAUUGAACACAAGAAAUUUGUUGAGAAGAAAACACAUGCAUCUAGAUGACUACAGCUGCAUGCUAUGCUCCACAGGUUGUGAAGAAACCAGCUUUAACCUCUUCCUUGAAUGCAACUUCAGCCAAGCUUGCUGGAACUCCAUUCCAAUCAACUAGAAUCUUAACUUGCCUCCACUAGACAUGAUGAUAGAUGCUAGAACUCAGUUUGGAAACCCCAUCUUUAGAGAACUGCUCAUAACUGCUUGCCGGGUAAUAUGGACUAUGAGAAAUUCCAUAAUCUUUGAUAAUGGACAAUGUAGCGUUUCCCUUUGGAGAAGAAGAUUCAAGGAAGAAUUAGACCUUGUAUGCAUCAAGGCCAGUGAGAAACGACGGACCCCACUAACUCUUUGGCGAGACAGUUUUCAUCCAUAGCUCUGUUGUAUAUUUUUCUUUUGGGCCUGGGUGCCCUGUACUCUUUUUGUUUCCUCUUUUUCUUUUACUUCAUUUGUACAUACUAUUCUUUCAUUUAAUUGAAAUACAAAAAUAUAGGUAGGGGAUUCCCCCACUCUUCUGGUCAAAAAAAGAUUAUCUCUAUAUUUUUCUUGAAACACAAAAUGAUGUUACUAAACAAUGUAUCUAUAUUGUUAUACACAAAUUAUAAAUGUAUCUACUCAACCGUCUCUACACUUUUUAAUACACAAUAUGGCGUUGUUACACAACGUGACUACAUAAUUACACACAUAAUAUAGAUGUGUCUAUAAGGAUCUCUCUACAUUUCUUAGCAUACAACAAAGCACAUCUAUAUAACAUAACUAUAUAAAUAGACACGUUACACAAAUGUAUGUAUAAAAGUGUAUCAAUAUGCAUAGAUAUGCUACUAACAUCUCUACAAAACAUCUCUUUGUCACCUUGACAUGCUUAGGGAACUCGUCUCUAUAAGUCCUGACACAAAGCGUGCCUACAAUCUUAUAGAGAUGAAAUAAAACGUGUCUAACAUGUAUAUAAAACGUCACUAAGGGGGUAUCUCUAGUACAACACCAUCGGGAAGAAGAAAGUUCAUGGGUAGGUUCUUUUGGAGGUGACAGUGAUGAUGAGGGGACACAGGCAAUGUAUAAGUCGGCUAUACUGGCAACUCAUUUCCGCUGGGUGCCUGAGGAAUAUAGCAAAGCCUAUCGUCCUACUUCCACACUUCAUCUCAGUUCCGUCUAUCCAAGGGGGGUUUAGACACGAUGCUGAUGCACAAUGAGCAACAGUGGGUGAGAUGGGUCUACUUGGAGAGCUUUUUGUACAUGGCUAGUUUGGUGGACAUGUCCAGAGGCAUGGAUUGGAGGAAUGUAUUGGGCUUCAAGCAAGAUUGGUAGGAGGCAGUGAUCUGGUAGUUCAAUGCCACUCUAGAGGUUAGGGCUCAUAAGGAAAAGCUCAUUUGGAUGACUGGCAUUAAAAAGUUCAAGGCAACUUUCGGGAUGCUGCAACAGUUGUUGGCCUAGACUACCACGAGAUAUGAAGUGGGGAAAAUUGAUGACUGAGCUUCCAAGGUUGCAGCCUGGUGACAUUUAGGGCGCAAGAGAGAUGUGCACUCUCCUCAGGCUUUCCAGCCUUACAUCAUGGCUCUAGUGCUGGGCACCAUUGGUGACUUCAGAAGCAUGUCGGAGACAGAGCAUCAGAUCGACUAGCCAUUAUAGCAGCCCUCUCACAACCAUCUCUCUCAGAUCAGGUAAUUUUCUUUCAAGGCCAACCUGAAAAAGGAAACUUGCCAAUGGUGUCGCCCAUAUCACUACUACAGAAUGAGGCAUUGGUCGAUGUCCAAAAUCAUCAAAAACCUCAACCCUUUUGCAGCCCAGGGCUAAACACACCUUUAGCACCGAUUUGUAACACGGGCCGGUGCUAAAGGGGCCUGCCCAACGGCUAUUGACAAGUGCUGUCAGAGCAGGGACCCUUUAGCACCGGUUCGUGUUACCAACUGAUGCUAAAGGGUUCCCUUUAGCCUUGGUCUAUGCCACAGGGUGGGUCAAACCCUUUAGCACCUGUUCAAGGCACAAACCAGUGCUAAAGGGUCACCUUGAGACCGGGUUUGUGCCUUGAACUGGUGCUAAAGGGUCCGGUUUAUAGGCCACGACUACUGUUGACGGUCCUUAAUGCUCACAUUUAACCGUCAACUAAUCAUGGAAAAGGACUUAAAUGCAACCAACACCUAGACUUAGGGUUUUAUCUGACAGAAUUCCAUGAGUUUUGGUGUUUGUCUAUUUCUGCAGGGGGUUAUCAAGAAAUACGGAAGAAAGGCCCACACGUCGGGUUUACAUAGAGAUAUUAACGUGCCGCGCAAUUUUCUAUCAUCUAGAAGACUCCAGAAGCCACGGGACCGAAGCGGAGGCCUAGAGGACUCAGGGACAGGGCGCCCGCCCUACUCUCCUGGGCGCCCGCCCUCACAGAGAGUCUAAUCAGGACUCUCUUUCGGGAUCAAUCUCCACCGACCUAAAGGAUCAGGGAUAACCAUUCAAUCAAUGUCGGUUUGAUCCAACGGCCCAUAUUCACUUAAAGGGACUAUAAAACCAGACCCCCUGGCCCCUGGAGAUCAUACCUCUUCUACAGAAUCAAAGCUAGCGUUUCAAUUCUUCAUCCAAGUAGAGAGGAUCCCUCUAGUUCAUCUAGUUCUACCUCUAGUUCAUCUAGAUCUAGUUCUAGUUCUAGUUCCUCUAGUUCUAGUUCUAGUUAGUUCUAGUUGUAAUCUAGAAAAUAGGGAGAGAGAAGAGGAGAGCGGAGGAGGAGCCGGAUCUGUCGGAUCUUCCUCAACAUUGUACUUUUGCAGCAACAGGUUCGUUCUUCAUCGUUCUCUAGGUUCUUCAAUUCAUAAUUCCUGAGUUCUUUAAUUACUUUUAUUUACAUUCAAGUUAUUUAUUGGAUUCCCGCUUGCAUCAUGUGCUCUAAUCUUUGAAACAUUAGAGUAGUAAUUAAUAGAUUAGACGUGGUGUUUAGUCUUGCAAUUACCUGGAAUUACACCCAAUCCUGCGGAUUGUUGUGGUAGCAUUAGGGUAGUGACAGCCCUAACGGUCGACGUAUUCCACCUCAUUCGGAUCGGUGUUUGUAGGACCGUAGUCAGACCUUCCUAGCCCCCUUCUCAUCUUUUUCUGUGGUUAGUGCUCUGAUGUCCCGAUAUAAAUAAUCUUUGAAGUAAUUCUUGAUUCUUAGAUCAAUUAGAGAAUCUCAGGAAACUUCCUCUCUUCCCACCAAAAAUAAUUAUAUAGUUAUCCUUGGGCGAUCUGGAAUCUUAAUUAGUACACUCACGUUCCCUGUGGAAAAUCGAUACUCUGGAAUACUCCCGGGUGAAAGCUACAUCGGUAUCCGUGCGCUUGCGGAUUUUUCUGUUAGCGUUUAAAAUACCCAACAAGCUUUCUGGCGCCGUUGCCGAGGAACGGUAGCUGUGCUAGUUUCGAACCAAGUCGUCCGUGUAUCCUUUUUCUUUGCCUUUUUACCACACUCACCUUAUUAUUUUCACCACACCACAUGGAUUUCACUCCAAGCAUUAAUGAGCAUGGAAUUUAUUUCAUAGCCACUUCAUUUACUCCAUGCUCAUAUGCAACAUCUUCACAAUCCAUUGGUCUCUCCAACAUGACCACAUUCAAGAUCUCCAACCCCUUCAUCCUUUCUAUUUAUAAAAACUUUAAAAGGACGGUUGUCGAUGCAUAUGUCUAUAUUAAAUAUUGCAGAUCUCGUUGAGUUGAUCUUGAUAUAGGUCAGCGUUGGAGGGGAAACCACUUCGCCGACAUAAAUUGAUGGUUUCCCAAGGACAAGCUUAGUGUCCUAAAACAAGCACUGAUCAGAUUGUAACAUGAGCUUUUAAUUAUUUACAACAUUCCCUUGUGAAUUGAGCAUAAAAGGAUAAUUGUAAAAAUAUUCCUUCGGGUAUUCUUGUCACUAACCUUUCUAGGAUUGGAGCAAGAAGAUCAGAUGAAUGACAAGCACAAGGUAUGUCCAACCAAUCAUCGUACAACAUAGAAUUAAAUUCAUCCAAACUUGAAUUUUACAAAAUUCAUGCUUGGGGGAGUACUUUACAUAAAAACAUCAUUUGCCAUGUUGCUAUGUUGGUUGUCCCUACCUUUGAGACAUGCUCAAUUUGUUAAAUACUAAUCACACUACUUCAUCUCCACUUGAGUGGAUCUCUAUAAAUGCUCUCAUGCUACCUUUAUUUGCUUUAGUAUAUGUCUAGGUUUGGAGUAGUUUCAUUUAUCUCUUAAUUAAGCAUGGUGCUUAGUUUAGGAAUGAUGAUCUUAUUUCCAAGGGAUUUGAAAUUAAGCAUGCUGCUUAGGUUAAAAUGCCCUCCUAAAUCAAAUUAAACAUGGUUUCUAGGUUGAUUUUUGAGCCGAUAGUAUGCUAUAGCAGAUAUGGGAUAUUUUGUUGGACUAACCCCUGUAGGAAAACAUUCACUAUCGACCUGGGAAGUCCUGAGAUACACUCACAUUGGAGACAAAGAGAGAGGCACAUGAAGUUUAACAAUUUACACAAGGAAGGCAUAGCUCACAAGAGAUGAUCCAUGGAGGGUGCCACAAACACGAUGCACAACCGUUAAGAAAGGAAAGCUUCCACAAGGUGAUACCGUACCAUCACUCUUCAAGUAAGGUAACUGUUGGCAUUUCUUAACGUCAUCACUAAGAACAGGGUUUAAUCCGUCCUCAGCAACGAUGUCAGAAAUGUCGUGAUAACACUUACUAAUGCAAUCACAAAGAUUAGAGUAUAAAUCUAUCCUAAGCAACGGUGCCAGAAAUGCUUGUUAGCGUUUCUUAGCGUCGCUACCUAGAAUAGGGUUCUGCUCUACUCAUGAUAAUGACAUUGGCAGUGUUAUAUUGGCAGAUCCGUAGCAUCACCACCUUGAAUAGGAAGCUAGAUCUACCUUCCCGAUAACGGCGCCUUAUUACCGUUAGGGUAGGGUUCCAGUUCUUAAUCAUGGUAGUGGCACUAGGAUUGCCAUGUUGGUAUUCCUUAACAAGUCACUAGCUCGGUGCAUGUCUAGCAAUAGUGUUAAGUAUAUACCGGGGUGAUAGUUCCUUAGGUUUGGAGUUAAAGUACUGCAAGCGGACGGGAAUUAUCAUGUAGCAUUUCAACCCGGGGAUUUACCGAGUGUCAUAUUUAUAGGUUCGCUCUAAGGAAGGGUUAAUAUGUUAAGGAUUCUAAGAUAAGCAUAGAUCAAAGUAAUUAUGAUAGCAAUAAUGGAAUCAAAAGUCAUAGCAGGUGAUAAACAUUUAUAUGUAGAAUAGUGAUCCAUCACAAUCUAGGCAUGGCAUAUGGGCUAAGGAAUAAAAAGAGACUAAAAGAAUGAAUUGAAUCAAAGAAUAAACAAACAACCUAUUGGAGCAGGUGUGGUCCUAGAUAUAGAUCAUGUCAUAGAACAAGUUAAUCAUGUAAUUAUACUACUUAGAUCUAGUCCUGUGUUUAGAUGGUUUGGGAGGUUACGCGAGUACUGGUCUGCCAGCAACCUCCGCAACAAUUUAGACUCCUACACCCUAGCAGAACGUGGGGGAAUGCCAAGGACGGACAGGGCUGUCACCACCUGCCGCCAUCCCCUCAACCGUGGACUAGGACAAUGCAUUUACCCAGCCUUUACACCCAAGCACCAUGCUUACAUGCAAAGAACUUACUCGGACUCCCCCGGGUCCCCGACCCUACGGAUCGACAGGUAAGAAGCCCGAGCCUACUCAAAAGAGCAUGAUAAACCCCCAUCUUCACACAAAGCUAUUUCUAGGCAAUUAAUUAACAUGAAGCAAUUAGACUAAAGUCCUAAGUGAGAAUAAUACUACAUACACUUAGCACUAGUUCAUAUAAUACACUACUAGCCCUAGGGUAGCAUUAUACUAUAAGAACUAUAUACUAAAAUGUAUGUCAUAUCAUUUUCACUAGAACUAUAUUCUAGUUCAUACGCUAGCAUCAUAAAACAGGGCCUAUGAUCUAUGUCAUAUACCAUAGCAUAAGAACUAUACUCUAGUUCAUAUGAAGAACUAUAUCGGACAUGAUAAGGCAUGGAUUUGGAGUAAAGAUAUUCUUUAUUCAUACCCAAGUUUCUCUACAAGGAGCCAAGCCCUCCUUGAUAGCUCACCCAACUCUCUCUCUAAAAGCUAAAAGGAAAAACUAAGAAGAGGUAGUUCCCAAGUGCCUUGAAGGUGGAGUGUUGAUUGUGAAUGUGAUGAGAUGAAUGGAGCCUCCCUCUCCCCCUCCUUAAAUAGGUGGGGAAGGUCGGUUCCCCAGAGUGUAAACUGCAAUUUGCACGCGGAGACUGCGGGAGGAUAGGCUCAGCACCGCCUCUGCGAAAGGCGGUGCCGAGAUGGGCUGGGCUAGGGUCGGCCGACCCUAGGGGGCGGCCGCCCCCUGGUGGGCCCCACUAGCCCUGGCCCGAAGCCCGUUGCCUUCCUCUCGGGCCCCUGAGUCCAGAUCCGCCUGCAAAUUGAUGCAGUUCUAUAUUGGGCUUUUGGGUACUUGUUUAUUUGCGCAUUUUUUGACGUGUCGGAUUGCGCCUUUUUAUUUGCUUUCCACCUGUAUACAUGUAUAUGAUCUACAAAACAUAACUUGCACUACAUGUGGAACUUGGUAAGCAUUUAAUAAGUAUAUGUGAGUAAAAUACAUGCUUUUCUUCCUUUGCAUGGACUAUGUUGGCGGGGUAAAUAUGUCAUUAAGAACCGCCAACAAACUCCCCCAAGCUUACCCCGUGCUCGUCCUCGAGCAAGAAGCUAAGAUCUUGGUCGUUGAUCAGGAGUUGCUACAAUAUUUUCACUUCUAUCCAGUACAUACCUUAAAAAAAAGAAUUCUCCUUUGAAUUUUGAACAGAUAUGUCAUGGGGCUUAUUGCUCAUACCUUGGGUCCUUAAGCAUUUGCAGGAUGGAUUUGAUCAGAUCGAGUGCUAUAUCCCUAGUUCUUUACUUCACCUUUGUUCCGGAGUUUUUGAUUUUCAAAACUUAGCACAUUUAUUUGUCAAAUUAAACAAUGGAUCCAAAGAGAAAGUUAAUCAUACCAUUGAAUUUUUGAAAACUUUUUCUUUUCCAUCAUUCUCUUUUUGUCUAUUAGAGACACAUGGCUAUGUGGCUAAUUCUACUGUUGGGCACUUGCCCAUUUUUUUUAUUUUUUUAUUUUUAUUUUUAUUUUUAUUUUUUCGAGGUUCCGGACACAUGUCCCUUUUUAUUUCCUCGUGAUCUUUCUUUUUGAGGUUUCGGACACAUGUCCCUUUUUAUUUCCUCGGAUGCUUUUUUUUCUUUUUCAUAGCCAUAUGCCUUCUAACAAACUUUUGAGAUGAUAACAUAAUGAAAUAUUUUUGUUUUCAAUGGUAUGACAACCUCUCAAAGGGUCAACAAAGCUUAAUCUAACUCAAUGUGAUUAUUUUAUUUUUGUAAAAACUCCAGAACUCUAGCGUUGUUUAGAACAGGAUACUUGCAGCUCAGAUCAUCACAAAUAUAUCCAUUAAUUACUUUAGACUUUAGAUAGAGCAUUUUGCAACCCACGCAUUUAAUCAUUUUAUUAAUUUGGAGAAUUCAAGGUUGAAACUAGAUACUGGAAAGAAAUUACGAUAGAGCAACUAUUCAUCAUUUCAACAAGGAAGAAGCAUAUAUCUUACAUCACAUAUAAGAGUGGAAUUAUAUUUUUGUCUUUUUAGCAUUUUUCAUUUUUUUUAUAUGCAAUAAUUAAAACAUGAAUUUAACUAAUGGAAAUUUCAUAAAGUAAACAUACUAAUUUAAAAUUAAGGAUGCAUGAAAAUAAAUAUGCAAUGCAGAUAACCUCGGGAUUGGGGGUCCUCCCCCAAGCUAGGUUCUGGCCGUUGUUUAUUAUUAUUAUUGUUUUAUUUUUUUUCAGGGCUUACCUUUUUAGGUCUGGUGAGCAAGACCUUUUUCUCCUAUGCUUGGUGAUGGAUCUCCUUGUUCGGGAGAAGUGGAUGGAGAUGCUUGUUCCUUCUUUGGCCUCCACUUCAUCUGAUUGGUUUUUGGUGGUGUGGUGGCCUUUUGGAUCUCCUUCCAUACCUUCUUUGGUGGAAGGGGACUCUCUUUUUCUUCCGGAGCCUUGUUUUGCUUACAAGCUUUAUUUUGCUCCUCAUGUUUCUUUUUGGGAGCUGCCUUUUUCUUUUGCUCCGGCUUUUGUGUAGGUCUUUUUACUUAUUUAGAGAUUCUAUAAAUAAUUUCAGGCUGUAUCUGCACCUCUUUUAUCUGUUUAUUUGGUCCAUAUCUAACCCGGAUCAUUGAGCAUUGCUCUUGAUGCCUUGGUUUGAACUCAACUUCUCCUCCUUCCCAUUGAUGUGUAAAGUGAUCUUUCCUUCCUUCACAUCAAUCUAUGCUCCUGCGGUGCUCAAGAAGGGUCUCCCAAGGAUCAAUGGUGAUUCCUUGGUUAACUUCAUAUCAAGCACCACAAAGUCCACGGGAACAAACAGUCCUCUGAUUUGUACAGGUACAUCUUCGGCUAUUCCCGUUGGAUGCCUGACCGAUGAGUCGGCCAGUUGGAGAGUCAUCGUGGUUGGCUUGAGUUGAGUGAAGUUGAGCUGGUCAAAGACAACUUUAGGCAUCACACUUACGCUUGCACCUAAAUCACAUAGCGCAUGACCAAAGCGCUGAGUUCCGAUUGAGCAUGUGAUUGUAGGGCACCCCGGGUCCUUCCUCUUCUCCGGGAGACGGUUGAGUAUAGCAGCGCUACACUCUUCCGUCAGCUUAAUUGUUUCAGUGGAUGGCAGUGGGCGCUUGUUGUUGAUGAUAUCCUUGAUGUACUUGGCAUAAGGAGGUACAUGUAGAACGUCCAUCAAAGGAACGCUUACAUGAGUCUUCUCGAUCAUCUCAACAAAGCGAGUAAAUUGUUCAUCCACAGCUUGUUUUCUAUUUCUUGUGGGAAAUGGCAGGUACGUGGUGUCCGUGUACCCCAAUGGGUCUUUUGGUGCCAUUUCCUCUUCUUCUGGUCUGACAUCUUUUUGGGUUUUCUUUGUUAUCUCCUGUUGCUCUUUGUCCUUCCCUGCAUCAGCGUUAGGGUUCGGUGGAUCACGAGUGGUCUUACCACCCCUCGUGGUCACCGCUUUUACAUUUUCAGAAUUAUUUUUAUAUUCAGUAGGAAGGGCAGCAGCUAUCUGAGCUAUUUGUGUUUCAAGCAUCUUAUUAAAGCUCAGUUGGUUUUGUACAGAAGAGGCAAGGUUUUCUAUUUUUGUAUUUAUGUUUUCUAAAACCUUAUCAUUGGACAGCAACUUUUUAGUUAAGUUUUCAUUUAUUUUAGCUUGUCCAAGAACUAGGUCUUUUAAUGAAGGUUGAUUCGAAUUAAAACUUGAAUUACCUUGAAAUGAAGAGCGUGACUGAUUAUUCCAACCAUUACCUUGGUUGGCGCCUCCUUGUUGGCGGAACCCGUUGUUGAUGUAGGCAGCGUCUUCACGGGUUUCGGGACAAUCAUUCCCCGAAUGGCCAACUUCUCCACAGACCUCGCACGUCAUGUGCGAGUCUAUUGAUAUUUGGGAACGCAAUAAGGAAUUGAUUCGCAAGCGCACGGAUAUCGGUGAGCACUUCACCCGGGAGUUUAUCCAGAGUAUCGUAUUUAUUUUUUACCACUAGGAGAAAGAGUGCAUCUGACUAACCAGUCUAUUACUACUAAACCCUUUAGGCACAAAGAAUGUCUCUCGAUGUGAGUGAUAAAUAGAGAAGACUGCAACCGUAGUCUCCUUCUAACCUUGGUAAGGAUGAUCUACCUGCUAACGAGAUAUGGUCUGCAAAGGUAACUCGGAAUUGUCACGUUCCUCACUACUACCACGGUCCAGCUAGUCAGGGAAUAUCUAUGAGUACCCCAGCCUAAACACCACGUUUACGCCAGUAAUGAUUACUCUAAACUCUACGCGAAGAGAUUAAAGUAAACUCAUAAACCAGAAGAACAAUAAAACAAGAACUUACUAGAAUUUAGAAGUCGAAAUACUGAAGAAUCCUAGGAGCAAGCUUCAGGUUAGGAGAACUUGAUCCCGCAGGUACAAGCUUGGAGUAGACACCGACAGGCCGGGCUUCCUCCAAUCUACACCUCCACUCUAUCUCUCUCAAUCUAGUAGAAACUAGAAGAUCUAUUUCUACUUUACAUUGGUUGCUAAGCCUAAAAAGAAAUAUUAAUUAGAGAAGAGGUUUUCCUUCGAGGGCACCCCUCAAUCUCUAUGAUAACUUCUUGUCUUCUCCAGGGGCCAGGGGGGUCUCCUUAUAUAGUCCUCCUCCUCUAUGCGUUUUUGGGUCGGUAGGCGAGGUGGUACUAUGUUUUCCUUGAUCCAAUAGGUCGGUGGAACAUCCCGAGCGAAGAGAGUCCUGACUGGCAUCCUACAGGGGGCGGGCGCCCUGGGCCUGGCCCCUUUCGGCCUCUGUUUUCUUCCCGUGGCUUCUGGAGUCUUCUAGAUGGUAGAAAAUCGCGCGGUGCAUUGAUAUCUCUAUGUAAUCCCGACAUGUGGGCCUUUCUUCCUUAUUUCCUGAUAACCCCCUGCAGAAACAGAUAAACAACAAAACUCAUGGAAUUCUGUCAGAUCAAACCCUAAUUCUAGGUGUUGGUUUCAUAUUGGUCCUUUCGCUUGUCUAUUUGAUAACUAAAAUUGAUACUUAAGAACCGUCAACAAAUACCCCCAUACUUAGGCUUUUACUCGUCCUCGAGAAAAGGAUGGUUAAGAACAAUAUCUGGGGUAAAACAUUUUAAAGCAUUCUUAUAUUUUGUAGGGUGUUAAAAAUCCACUGUGUACUAUAGUCAGGGAAGUUUAUGGUUAAGAGUAAAGAUCCUUUCUUCUCAAUCCUAUCACUUGGAGUUUUUGUAUAAUUUUUGAAAGAAAGUUAGCAUACUUUUUUAUCCUCAUAGGUUCUUCUCAGAUCACUCAUUAUCUUUUAUAUAUCUCACUGAGGUUGUUUUAUUUUGCAAAAAAUUCCCAAGCAUACUUACUUUGCAUUUAUUGCCUGAUCAAAACGGGAUCCGAGGAGGGGAAUGUCAUACUCUUAGAUCAAAGACUUUGGAAAUUAAAAUCUUUGUCAACUCUUGCUGGCAUAUUGCUUAUUAGAGGGACCAUGGGCUAUCAUUUUUUUCUCUCUUUUUUUUUAAGUGGAUACCGAGGUACCCCUAAUUCUACUGCCGGACAUUUGUCCAUUUUUCUGCGAGGUUGUCGAGCACUUGCUCCUUUUUAUUUCCUCGAAAUAUCUCUAUUUUUGCAUAGCCCAUGCCUCUAAUGCAAUAAUACUUCGGAAGAGUGAAUCUUUCUGAAUAAAUGUCUUGAUCUUAGGAGCAUGAUAAAUCUCUCAACAAGGGUCUAACUCAUUUUGAACAAACUCAAUACAGAGCAGAUAGCUUUUAUAAUCAUAAUUAAUAUUUUCAGUUUUAUCAGGCAUAUAAAACACUGAGGAUGGUAGCUAGAAUUUUGAAGAUUUUGAAAUAAAUUCUCCAAGCAACAAUGAUAUCAAGAAUAAGAAACUCAUACUCUACCAUCACAUUCCAUACUGUCUUAAGUAACACAUGGUUUUAAAAUGAUUUUAUAAUAAUUGCAAAUUUUCAAGAAAUAUCAUAGAUUGAGAUUAAUCAUGAUUAGAAAUAGUUUAAUCUUUUUAUUUUAUCAUGUCGGAAACAGUAAUCUGCAUAAUCUAAGAUAUGUGUACGUGUAAAGUGUGCAGAGUGUGUACCUGAAUCGUGGAGUGGUGUGGUCGGAGUGUGUUUAGCAUGUCGAGGGAUCUCUCCCAUACUCGUUUUCUGCUUUCUUGCACAAAAAUAAAGUAGAGACACACAAGACAUAAUAAUAAUAAUAAUAAUAAUAAUAAUAAUAAUAAUAAUAAUAAUAAUAAUAAUAAUAAUAAUAAUAAUAAUAAUAAUAAUAAUAAUAAUAAUAAUAAUAAUAAUACUCUUUAUUAAUCUUGAGGCAUUUAUUACAAAAGACUAGUAGCAAACUGAUAAUAAUAAACCGAUGAUAAUAGUAAACCUAAACCGAAUUUAAAGAUAGAUAACUAAGAUGCAUUGCAUCAAGGUCUAAUCUAGAUAACUUAGCGGCGCUCUAAUUCCUUGAUCUUCUUGUUGGCACUGGCAAGAUCCUGCCUAAGGCCUAGUAUAAUGGUGUUGUGGUUAGAGAGCUGCCUAGUGAGGGAAUUAAUAGAGGACUGGAGGUCUAUGAUAACUCUGUCUAGUCUGCGAACGUCCUCAUCAAUAUCCAUUAUAGUUUUGCGACGCUUGGGAGGUGUCUCAAAAGCAUUGAGAGCGUGCUUCGGGGCUGCCUUUGGGGGGAUGAAACGGACUUUGGCUGCUCUAAUCCCUUCAAAGUAAGGCCUUUCUUCCUCCGUAGUGUAGCGAAUACUGCUGAUCUCGCCGCUCCGGUUGGUCUUGACUCCAACGACCCUCUCAUUGGGUCUAGGUGGAAGGAUCCUUGUGCCGGUUGGCACCUUGAUGGUGGUCUUCGUCUUGGAUGAUGAUCCUUUGAGGAGUAGGGGUUGUGGCGGUGCGGUGAUAACUGGUUGAGUAUGGUAAGAUUGGGCGGAGCUACGUUGGCGUAAUGGCAUGGCUUCUAGCUGUCGCUCUGUGUUGGCCGGUACGAGAGCACGGGCAUCGGGGUCUUCCACAGGCUCCAUGUUGAGGUUGAAGGGGACGACUUCCCAAUCAUCAUGGUACUUCUCGGCCAUUGGAGCAGCAAGGAACUAAUCAAGCUCUAAUUGAAGGAGAGAAGGCUUGGUGGCUUGGUGUUUGAAAACUGAGGUCAGGGGUCUGUUUAUAUAGGGGUCAAAAAGUGCCUCUAUGGGUUGUUCGGGUUGCUCCCGUCGAUGUGCGUGCGAAACUUUCCAUCCGAGGGAUUAUUCUGAUUACCAUAAGUGCAUUUUCCAUAACAGAGAAAAUCGGGACCGAGGGGGAACAGGAGCUGGGCGCCCGCCCACCUGACCUGGGCGCCCGACCUCUCUCUGGCCCCUCUGUGGGCCCACUUUCCCGAGCGCGUUUCUAGAUGCAAAAUUAUUUAAAAAAAUAUAUAUAUGACCCAAAAACAUCAGAUUAAAAAGGCCGGGCUCUAAUUCUCCAUGGGAAGAUAAAAGUGGACUACGUCUAUUUCUUCUAAUUCUUUAUUGGGCUCUAAAAAUAAUUUAAGACGUUGACCAUUUACCUUGAAUAACGUACCUACGUCAUUUUGAAGUGUGAUAGCUCCGUGGGAUGAUGAAUUGAUUACCUUGAAUGGUCCUUCCCAUUUGCUCCGGAGUUUUCCAUGCCCGAAAAGCUUCACCCUGGAAUUAAAAAGUAAUACCUUAUCUCCGGGUGUGAACUCCUUCUUCUUGAUUCUCUUGUCAUGCCACCUUUUGACUCUUUCUUUGUAGAUCUUUAAGUUGUGAUAUGCCUUCUCUCGCUAUUCUUCCAAUUCUGAUAGUUGCAUUCUUCUAUAAUCUCCAGCAACAUCCAGGUCCAUAUUCCAUCUCUUUAUGGCCCAGUGUGCUUUGAACUCUAGUUCAACAGGUAGAUGGCAAGUCUUCCCGUACACCAAUUUGUAUGGAGACAUUCCAACUGGGGUCUUGUAUGCUGUCCGGUAUGCCCAGAGUGCAUCGGGUAACUUGUCUUUCCACGCCGUUCCCAUUUCAUUUACUGUCUUCUGAAGAAUAUUCUUGAUUUGUUUGUUGGAAGUCUCUGCUUGGCCACUUGUCUGAGGAUGAUAGGGGGUAGCGAAGUUGUGACAGAUACCAUGUUUUGAUAGAUAUUGCUUGAAGCGUUUGUCGAUGAAGUGUGCUCCUCCAUCACUUAUCACUACUCUGGGGACUCCAAAUCUUGGAAAUAUAAUUUCUUCAAACAUCCUCUUUGAACUGACGUUGUCGGCAUGCUUGCAGGGUAAUGCCUCUACCCACUUGGAGACAUAGUCAACUGCCACCAAGAUGUACUCACACUUCUUUGAUGGAGGAAAUGGACCCAUGUAGUCUAUUCCCCAGACAUCAAAGAGCUCAAUCUGAAGGUUGUUGGUGAGUGGCAUUGCAUCCCUUGUAUUUAUGUUUCCGUGCUUUUGACAUGGCCCACAUCUUCUGAUAUAUUGCUUCGUGUCUUCAUACAUUGUAGGCCAGUAGAAUCCACACUGCCAGAUCUUUGAAUGUGUACACAAUGCUCCAUAGUGACCUCCAUAUGGUGAUGAAUGACAUCUGUCGAUGAUCUUCCAUCCUUCUUCAGUGGUCACACAUCUCCUAAGUAAGCCAUCAGAGCAUACUCGGAAGAGGUAUGGCUCAUCCCAUAUAUGUGAACGACUUUCUUGAAUAAGCUUCUUCUUGUUUGCUCCUGGUGGUACAUACCCUGAAACCAUAAAAUUAACAAUAUUUGCAUACCAGGGGUCAGACCUGUUAAUCCCGUAGAGCAUGUCGUCCUGGAGUGAAUCAUUGAUGGGGGUUUCCUGUGGACUCUUAAAAUACAUUCUAGACAAGUGAUCAGCAACAUAAUUUUCUACUCCCUUUUUAUCUUUUAUUUCUAAGUCAAAUUCUUGGAGUAAUAAGAUCCAUCUAAUCAGGCGAGGUUUAGCAUCUUUUUUAGUGAGCAAAUAUUUUAGUGCAGCAUGAUGAGUGUAAACAAUUAUUUUAGCUCCAACUAAAUAAGAUCUAAAUUUAUCAAUGGCAAAGACAACAGCCAGAAGCUCUUUUUUAGUGGUUGCAUAGUUAAGUUGAGCUCCUGUCAAAGUUUUACUCGCAUAAGCAAUUGCAUGAUGCUUCUUAUUUUUAGCUUGUCCCAAUACUGCCCCCACAGCAUAAUCACUAGCAUCACACAUAAUUUCAAAAGGCAACGACCAAUCAGGGGGUUGAAUGAUUGGUGCAGAGAUGAGUGCUUUCUUUAAUAAAUUGAAAGAUGUUAGACAUGCAUCAUCAAAUUCGAAAGGAGCAUCCUUGGCUAGCAAAAGAGUAAGUGGUCUAGCAAUGAAUGAAAAAUCUUUUAUGAAUCUACGAUAAAAACCAACAUGGCCAAGAAAGCUUCGAAUUCCUUUUAUGUUCACAGGUGGAGGUAGUUGUUCAAUUACUUCAAUUUUAGCUUUGUCUACCUCAAUACCUCUUUCAGACACUAAGUGUCCCAGCACUAUUCCUUCCCUAACCAUGAAAUGACAUUUUUCCCAAAUAAGAAUUAAGUGCUUUUCUUCACAUCUUUGCAAAACCUUGUCUAAGUUUUCAAGACAACUAUCAAAAGUUUUUCCAUAAACAGAGAAAUCAUCCAUGAAAACUUCCAUAAUGUCUUCAAUCAUAUCAGAAAAUAUAGACAUCAUGCAUCUUUGAAAAGAAGCUGGUGCAUUACAUAACCCAAAAGACAUUCUACGAUAAGCAUAAGUUCCAUAUGGGCAUGUAAAAGUGGUUUUGCUUUGAUCAUCGGGAUGGAUCGGGAUCUGAUGAUAUCCUGAAUAUCCAUCUAAGAAACAGAAGAACGAAUGGUUUGCUAACCGCUCUAGCAUCUCAUCUAUGAAAGGUAAAGGAAAGUGAUCCUUUCUCGUGGCUUUGUUUAGUUUUCUAUAGUCUAUGCACAUCCGCCAUCCUGUGACGGUGCGUUGCGGAAUUAGCUCGUUCUUUUCAUUCAUAAUAAUAGUCAUGCCUUCCUUUUUAGGCACAACUUGUACUGGGCUUACCCACUCACUGUGCGGCACAGGAUAUAUAAUCCCUUCAUGCAGCAACUUUAUAACUUCCUUUUUAACUUCCUCUCUCAUAGUGUUAUUAAGUCUACGUUGGGGUUCUCGAGAAGGUGAAACAGAAGGAUCUGUUGGAAUACGAUGGGUACAAAUCAUAGGACUGAUUCCUGUAAGAUCUUGGAGUGAGUAGCCGAAAACUGAGUGAUGUUUCUCAAGAAUGGUCAUUAAUCGCAGAGUUUGAUCCUGAGUAAGUUUAUCGCUAAUGAUUACAGGGAACUCUGGAUUAUUGUUUAGGAAAGCAUAUGUAAGACCGGGUGGUUAAGUUUUAAGCUCUAUGGGAGGUCUAGGUGUUUCUGCAAACUCAUCUAAGGGUUCAGGCUCAGAAGGUUCGGCUUCUUCUUCUGUGAAGAAAGGAGUUUCGUCUUCUAAGUCUGGUUCAUCUAAAAGCUCUAGAGAUGCAGCCUUUACCUCCUCCAUAGGAUCAGGCAAAAGAUAUGAUUCGGCCUUAUUAUUUAAGGAGUGUGAAAUUGUUAUUGGGAAUUUAAAGGUUUUUUCAAAAGAAAUGUGUAGCUUUCCAGUAUGACCUUCAUAAAGGAGUCUUCUAAAAGGUUGUCCUAUCAACAGGUCGAAGUCCCAUGUAUCAAAGAUAUAAAAGUUCAAAUGAACCAUGGAGCCUUCUACCGUAAGAGGUAGGACAUUAAUAAUUCCAAGACUGGGGACUAAUCGUCCCAAAGAUUCCUUUAUGACCUUUGUUGUGGGGGUUAAGACAAGAUUUUUAAAUAGUUUAAGUGCAAAAGAUUCAGACAUGAUGUUGAUCCCCACAACAGGAUUAUAGAGAGCAUUAAAUCGAUCAGAAUUAUAAGCACAGCGUAUAGUUAUAGAGGGCGUGUCCAAACGGAUCACAUCAGAGGUAAGCUCUGAUUCCUCCAACCAUUCGCUACUCAUUACUGAGAUAAGCUCUCUUAAUUGUUGUUCACUUGGCAAAUAAAUGCUAAAUUGGCCGUUUUGGGGUUUGUCAAUAGAAUGGUAGUUUGAAAUAUUUCCAAAAUCGGCAAAAAGAUCGGAUUUUAUAUCCAGCAUGAAGUCCGGUGGUGGAAUUUCUUCCUCUUGUGGCUCAGAACUUGGGAUAGCUAAAGUAGAUGAAGAAUUUGGCAGAGUGUCUACUUCGGCUUCGUAGGUUUCAUCAUGAAGGGUAUUAUCCAUCUCAGCUUCUAGGAUUCUAUCUAGGAUCACUCUAGCUUCAUCAGUAGGGAUGCGAAAGAAAGAACGUCUAUACAUUGUUUGUAGCAUUUGUUUGUGAUUUUUCUGAAGACCUCGAAAAAAGUGGAAUAAAAGAACAGGGUCUUCAAGAUUAAGGUUUGGACCAGAUUCUAAAAGAUCAGAAAAAUGUUUCCAGGAUUUUCCCAAAGUUUCAUUAUCUUUUUGUUUAAAAGAUAGGACUUCGAGUCUAAGGUUGGCUAUACGGUCAAGAGAAUAGAAAUCUAGACAAAAGUUGGCUCGUAAAACUCCCCAUUCACCUUGUUGUUGACUUACCUUCUGACUGUACCAUUGUCUAGCUUCUGCCCUUAAAGAAAAAAGAAAAAGCUUCCAACGUAAAUUUUUAUCAAAAAUGCCUUCAAUACUAAGACAAUCACAUGUUUGCUCACAAUCUCUAAUAUGAAGGUAAGGGUUUUCGUCUUCCUUUCUCCAAAAAGAUAGGUUUUGAAUCAUGGCAAUCAACCUAGAACUUAACUUAUAUUGGGAUGUUUGGAUAGGCUGUGAUGAUUCCCAUGGUAAAAGGUCAGUCACUGAAGGGAUCGCAGACUCAUCGAUCGAUUUAGAAUUUUGGUUUUCCAUAAGGUAAGAGUAAAGAAAAUAAAUAAAGAAUAUAAAAGAUAAGAAAAGAUAAAAGUAUAGAUACAAGCUAGUAGUAAGACUUAGGUUAUCUCAGCAACCGUCUUACUCCCUGGCAACGGCGCCAGAAAUGCUUGUUGAUAUUUGGGAACGCAAUAAGGAAUUGAUCCGCAAGCGCACUGAUAUCGGUGAGCACUUCACCCGGAAGUUUAUCCAGAGUAUCGUAUUUAUUUUUUACCACUAGGAGAAAGAGUGCAUCUGACUAACCGGUCUAUUACUACUAACCCUUUAGGCACAAAGAAUGUCUCUCGAUGUGAGUGAUAAAUAGAGAAGACUGCAACCGUAGUCUCCUUCUAACCUUGGUAAGGUUGAUCUACUGUUCUAAUGGGGAGGCUAACGGAAUCUAGACACCACAAAGGAUGUUCAACCCGCACCUAUAAACCCUAUCCUUCCUGCUAACGAGAUAUGGUCUGGAAAGGUAACUCGGAAUUGUCACGUUCCUCACUACUACCACGGUCCAGCUAGUUAGGGAAUAUCUAUGAGUACCCCAGCCUAAACACCACGUUUACGCCAGUAAUGAUUACUCUAAACUCUACGCGAAGAGAUUAAAGUAAACUCAUAAACCAGAAGAACAAUAAAACAAGAACUUACUAGAAUUUAGAAGUCGAAAUACUAAAGAAUCCUAGGAGCAAGCUUCGGGUUAGGAGAACUUGAUCCCGCAGGUACAAGCUUGGAGUAGACACUGAUAGGCCGGGCUUCCUCCAAUCUACACCUCCACUCUAUCUCUCUCAAUCUAGUAGAAACUAGAAGAUCUAUUUCUACUUUACAUUGGUUGCUAAGCCUAAAAAGAAAUAUUAAUUAGAGAAGAGGUUUUCCUUCGAGGGCACUCCUCAAUCUCUAAGAUAACUUCUUGUCUUCUCCAGGGGCCAGGGGGGUCUCCUUAUAUAGUCCUCCUCCUCUAUACGUUUUUGGGUCGGUAGGUGAGGUGGUACUUUGUUUUCCUUGAUCCAAUAGGUUGGUGGAACAUCCCGAGCGAAGAGAGUCCUGACUAGCAUCCAACAGGGGGCGGGCGCCCUAGGCCUGGCCCCUUUCGGCCUCUGUUUUCUUCCCGUGGCUUCUGGAGUCUUCUAGAUGGUAGAAAAUCACGCGGUGCGUUGAUAUCUCUAUGUAAUCCUGACAUGUGGGCCUUUCUUCCUUAUUUCCUGAUAACUCCCUACAGAAACAGAUAAACAACAAAACUCAUGGAAUUCUGCCAGAUCAAACCCUAAUUCUAGGUGUUGGUUGCAUAUUGGUCCUUUCCCUUGUCUAUUUGAUAACUAAAAUUGAUACUUAAGAUCCGUCAACAGAGUCUUUGGCCUUCUCCAAGUUCGAGGGGUUCUCUUGGUUCUUCUCGGUGAGUUGCUUCAUCAAUAAAUCUAUUUUUGCGGCAAGCAUAUCCGUCUCCUUCACGGUAUGCAUGCCUUUUUGUGUUUUGGCAGCUGGGGGUUGAGUCUUGUCCUCCCCCCAGCUCUGGUGUUCUACCAUCUUCUCGAUCAGGGCCUUGGCCCCGACGGUGGUAAGUGAUAGGAACGCGCCUCCAGCGGCGGCGUCUAGGUGUCCCUUCGACAUGGGCGUGAGCCCAUUGUAGAAGUUCUGGAGCACCAUCCAGUUCUCCAUGCCGUGAUGGGGGCAGCUUAGGAUGUACUCUUGUAGCCGCUCCCAUGCUUCAGGGAUUGUUUCGCUGGCAUUUUGUUGAAAACUGGCAAUCCUUCCCCUCAAAGCAUUGGUUUUGCUUAUGGGGAAGAACUUGGCGAGGAAUGCCGCGGAGCAUUUUGCCCACGUGGUGACAGCUUCCUUAUCUUGAUAGAACCACCUCUUCGCCUUCCCCACAAGGGAGAAAGGAAAGAGGCAGAGCCGAAUGACAUUAGGAGUGAUGUCCUUGAUGACAAUCGUGUCACAUAGCUACAGGAAGUGUUGAAGGUGUGCAUUCGCAUCCUCGCUUGGCAAGCCACAGAAUGGGCUCGCCUGCACCAUGGUGAUCAGGCCGGUGCGUAGCUCGAAGUUCUUGCCGGCCGUGUCAACAGCGGGGCCAGUGGCCACGUUGGUGACAGCGGGCACGGAGAACUCGCGGAGUGUCUUCUCGGCGGCCAUGAGUUCGUUCGGGGUUGGUGCGGUACCGGCUGGUUCACUUGUCGAUGGAGUAGCACAAGACGAAACGGUUCGAGACCGUCUAGUCCUUAGGAGUGCCUCGGGAUCGGAGAUGUAGUUUUCCAGCAAAGAGAAACCAGGCAUACACUAUUCCUCCUGUUUCAUCCACAACAGGGAGAAAACAGGCAGAGUUAGCCUGCAUAACAAUUGACUCAUUACGCACAUCAGAUUACUUGAUUAUAUUUAUCUAGAAUCAUUUUCAUAUUAGCCUUCCCCGGCAACGGCGCCAGAAAUGCUUGUUGGCAUUUCUUAACGUCAUCACUAAGAACAGGGUUUAAUCCGUCCUCAGCAACGAUGUCAGAAAUGUCGUGAUAACACUUAGAUUAGAGUAUAAAUCUAACCUAAGCAACGGUGCCAGAAAUGCUUGUUAGCGUUUCUUAGCGUCGCUACCUAGAAUAGGGUUCUGCUCUACUCAUGAUAAUGACAUUGGCAGUGUUAUAUUGGCAGAUCCAUAGCAUCACCACCUUGAAUAGGAAGCUAGAUCUACCUGCCCGAUAACGGCGCCUUAUUACCGUUAGGGUAGGGUUCCAGUUCUUAAUCAUGGUAGUGGCACUAGGAUUGCCAUGUUGGUAUUCCUUAACAAGUCACUAGCUCGGUGCAUGUCUAGCAACAGUGUUAAGUAUAUACCGGGGUGAUAGUUCCUUAGGUUUGGAGUUAAAGUACCGCAAGCGGACGGGAAUUAUCGUGUAGCAUUUCAACCCAGGGAUUUACCGAGUGUCGUAUUUAUAGGUUCGCUCUAAGGAAGGCUUAAUAUGUUAAGGAUUCUAAGAUAAGCAUAGAUCAAAGUAAUUAUGAUAGCAAUAAUGGAAUCAAAAGUCAUAGCAGGUGAUAAACAUUUAUAUGUAGAAUAGUGAUCCAUCACAAUCUAGGCAUGGCAUAUAGGCUAAGGAAUAAAAAGAGACUAAAAGAAUGAAUUGAAUCAAAGAAUAAACAAACAACCUAUUGGAGCAGGUGUGGUUCUAGAUACAGAUCAUGUCAUAGAACAAGUUAAUCAUGUAAUUAUACUACUUAGAUCUAGUCCUGUGUUUAGAUGGUUUGGGAGGUUACGUGAGUACUGGUCUGCCAGCAACCUCCGCAACAAUUUAGACUCCUACACCCUAGCCGAACGUGGGGGAAUGCCAAGGACGGACAGGGCUGUCACCACCUGCCGCCAUCCCCUCAACCGUGGACUAGGACAAUGCAUUUACCCGGCCUUUACACCCAAGCACCAUGCUUAUAUGCAAAGAACCUACUCGGACUCCCCCAGGUCCCCGACCCUACGAAUCGACAGGUAAGAAGCCCGAGCCUACUCAAAAGAGCAUGAUAAACCCCCAUCUUCACACAAAGCUAUUUCUAGGCAAUUAAUUAACAUGAAGCAAUUAGACUAAAGUCCUAAGUGAGAAUAAUACUACAUACACUUAGCACUAGUUCAUAUAAUACACUACUAGCCCUAGGGUAGCAUUAUACUAUAAGAACUAUAUACUAAAAUGUAUGUCAUAUCAUUUUCACUAGAACUAUAUUCUAGUUCAUAUGCUAGCAUCAUAAAACAGGGCCUAUGAUCUAUGUCAUAUACCAUAGCAUAAGAACUAUACUCUAGUUCAUAUGAAGAACUAUAUCGGACAUGAUAAGGCAUGGAUUUGGAGUAAAGAUAUUCUUUAUUCAUACCCAAGUUUCUCUACAAGGAGCCAAGCCCUCCUUGAUAGCUCACCCAACUCUCUCUAAAAGCUAAAAGGAAAACUAAGAAGAGGUAGUUCCCAAGUGCCUUGAAGGUGGAGUGUUGAUUGUGAAUGUGAUGAGAUGAAUGGAGCCUCCCUCUCCCCCUCCUUAAAUAGGUGGGGAAGGUCGGUUCCCCAGGGUGUAAACUGCAAUUUGCACGCGGAGACUGCGGGAGGAUAGGCUCAGCACCGCCUCUGCGAAAGGCGGUGCCGAGAUGGGCUGGGCCAGGGUCGGCCGACCCUAGGGGGCGGCCGCCCCCUGGUGGGCCCCGCUGGCCCUGGCCCGAAGCCCGUUGCCUUCCUCUCGGGCCCCUGAGUCCAGAUCCACCUGCAAAUUGAUGCAGUUCUAUAUUGGGCUUUUGGGUACUUGUUUAUUUGCGCAUUUUUUGACGUGUCGGAUUGCGCCUUUUUAUUUGCUUUCCACCUGUAUGCCUGUAUAUGAUCUACAAAACAUAACUUGCACUACAUGUGGAACUUGGUAAGCAUUUAAUAAGUAUAUGUGAGUAAAAUACAUGCUUUUCUUCCUUUGCAUGGACUAUGUUGGCGGGGUAAAUAUGUCAUUAAGAACCGCCAACAGUAACAUCUUAAGGUACUUGACUAUCACUUUUAUAAGUUUCUCCUUGGUUCUGGCGUUCACAUGAAUAAAAGAGACAAACAUGUAUGAUUUAUAACUCCAAAUUAACCAACCCAACUGAUUCAGCAUGUUUAGUCCUUUAAUCUAUGUUUAUAGUACUACCUUUGUGAUCCUACACUCCUAAUCAUAUAAGCUAAAAUGUUGCACACUCAAUCUUUGGAAGAUAUAUAUAUAUAUAUAAAACAUAAGUAUAGAUACAUUAUAUUUCCAUUAGGUUGAGCGAUCUGAUCUGACAAAUGUUUUAAAUGCUACACUCAUGAUAUCAUUAUCCAUCACCUUUGUCUUGCUCACUAUGCUUAAGGUUAAAGAAGAACAAAUACACUUUUGGUUCUGUUGGUGUUUUCCACCAACAGGGCCCAUGCACUUGAUCUCUGCCUUGUCUCUAUGAGCAUGUACACUUCGAGCAAAAUAUGAAGAACUUUUACAACUCCCAGACUCCACCAACUGAAGAAUCUAGAUCUACGAGCACAAACACACUGGAGAUACUGGACACUCAGGCAAUCACUACCCUGAGAUGCUUGAGGACGUAACUACUGGAGUAACCCCAUUGUGGAAGUAAUUACUGACCUUCUGUCGGUCAAGAGAGACAAUCCAGGACGUCCCGUCAUCCCGAUCUCCAUUGGCAUGGUGGACUUCCUAGAAGCACUCUGCGACUUUGGCUCCAGUGUCAACAUUAUGCCUAGGGUACUCUAUGAAAAAAUCUUUACACAUCCUUUAUUAGAAACAGCCAUGUGUUUGCAGCUUGCAGAUCGUACGCUAAGUUUCCCAAAGGGAAUAUUGAAGAACCUCUGGGUCCGAGUUGGUACCUUGUACGCCCCAGCAGACUUCUUGGUAAUAAAGACUGGUACUGAUGAGAGGGCACCUAUCAUCCUAGGGAGGCCAUUCCUGAACACCUCAGGAGCUGUCAUCUACGCUAGUGCUACUAAGAUUAGUUUCUACAUCAAAGGGAAGAAGGAGACGUUUUCCUUCAAGAACAAGACUACACAAAUCUUAGAGCAAUCCCGACAUAAACCAAGGAAGAGGACCAACAGGAGAAACAGGAACAAGCAAAUGUAUGCCAAGCAUCCAGUGCUCCAUUAAUGGAUACAACUUCCAGAAGACGCUUUCCGACACUGGGUCAGACGUCAACAUAAUGGCCGCAGUCACCUAUCAGCUCCUGUUUGAAACCAUGCCCCUAAAACCGACAUACAUUCAGCUCUAGAUGGCAGAUCAGACAUUCCGAAAGGUUGAAGACGAGUACGAUCCACCCAUCAUCCUUGGGAGACUGUUCCUCAGCACCAUUAAAGCAAUCAUCUACAUUGGAACCAGCGGAGUCCACAUGCAUUUCCCCUCUGAGAAGGUACACUGCUAUUUUACUGACCCUAACCAUAUAGUUGAAGACUCUAAGCAGGUCAGGACAAGAAGAAGACGACGCAACCGCAACCAGAGGAGGCAAAUCAUCAAGGACGGAUGGGUAGACUAUGAAGGAGAAGUUGUAAGGUCUGAAGACAUACAACUUGAACAGAACUAAGGAGACCGUAGCACCGAGUUAGGUGUGAAGUGAGAAGAUAGUUAUACAUGAAGAGGAGGCACCGCCGGAACCACCGACUACGCCAUCCAGCGAAUCCUAGGACGACUGAGAAAACGGAGAGUCCCGUUCGGAGGACUUAAAAACACCGAACGCCUUGCCAAGAGGUAAACUUGGUAGUUAUCUUUUUCCUUUCAAUUAUUUUAAAAUAGUUUGCUUAGUUAAUCAGGUUCAUUUCAUCUUGAACAGAAAAUAAAAAUAUUAAAAAAUAGUAAGCCCCAUGUGAGUAUGCUCAUGGCAUAAAACCCAUAAGUACAUUCACUGUGGUGGCAUAAAAAUGAAAUAAAUAUAUUCCUGUCCUAUAAAAAUAAAAUUAUAAAAAAAUAAAUUAAUGAUCCUACUAAAGAGAGUAACAUUUAUUGAGGAGGCUCAACAUGAUAAAGGCUAGAUAUUUAUGCUAACACUUAACUAGUUCCACAAUGCUUUGUUGUCUAUUUGAGCUCCACAGAAUUCAAGAAUCAAAGAAGACUAGCAGACAGACGACAUCCUAAUCACUGUCAGAGUGUUGCCGACAUUCAAAUACACCUCCGCCACGUGCUAGCUACAACAGAAGAAAUUACGUCAAAAUCCAGCUUGGGGAGAGCACCCCCAUUUAUCCAGCUAAGUGUUCUACUCAUGUUUAUAUUUUACUCAAAUAAUAAAAAGACGCAUAAUCAUAAAAACCCAAAUAAAGAUUUUGUGCUUAUAUAUCUUUUCUUAGUUUGCUAAAUAAAUAAAUAAAGUUUGCUAUGAACCCUCAUGAUAAGCUCUCACAUGGAAAUGAUGAAUAGUUGCUCUGCCAUGACUAGUUCUCAAAAUUGAAAUCUCUCUCAAGUUUAGGCAUGACUGGUAUUAAUUAAGUUUUGCUCUAAGCCUGAACUUGUGGGGAGAGUACUUGAUCUAAAGUCUAAGUCGUUAACGGAUACGAUAUGGGAAGGUUGAGCUGCUGUUUAUCUGUUCCUAGAGAUGCUAGAAUUCUGGAGAAUUUUAUCUUUGAAAAUCUUUAAAAUGUUGCAUGAUGAGUUCCUGUAUGAUGAGAGUUUAAAUUCCUACCACAGCCAUAUAUACAUGCUUGCUAGACUUUGAGCCCCACAUUUACUUUUUACUGCUUAUGAGCAUUGAGUGUGGUCAAGCUGUGUAGACCCCUAGGAGCUUGUCAUGUGGUUAAAUCAAGAUUCACUUGCACGUUCACUCACACAUGCUGCUUCUACUCCGGAAGUACGCAUCCACAUAUAUCCACCCAUUUCCAUCGCCAGAUUCACCCAAAGAUUAUUCUACUCCUAAUCCGGGAGAGAAUAGCCAAAAACAUUUCUGUUUUUCCCCUGUGAAAUAAAUGCUCAAGUUGUCUUGGUUACUACCACUUGCUAUAUUAUUUCAGGAGAUGAGUGCUCUAAAAAAAGAAAAAAAGAAAGAAUACAAGGAAAUAAAAAGGGGCAAGUGCCCGGAACCUCGAAGAAAAGAAAAAGUGAGACGAGAGGUAAAAAUGGACAAGUGUCCGACAGUAGAAUUAGGGGUACAAGAUACCCACCUAAGAGAAAAAAAAGAAAAUAUAGAGCAUCUCAUUCCCCUCAAAAAGCUUCAAAGUGCAAGAAAGGUAUGUAUCCCCUCAAAAGAGCAAACGUAGAAUUAGACUUUCACCAUUGUUAUCACCAUCAUCACCAUUAUUAUCACCAUUCAUUCGCCACACAUGCAUAUCUUGAUUUGACUUAUUGACUUGAUCUUGUGGAUCCAUGGUUUGACUAUGCAAUAAAUGUCUUGUAAGUAUGUAUUAGCUGUCUCCCACCUAUGAGCUCUAGAUAUUAUAGCCUUAUUAGAGUAGGGUGAGAGAGAAGGCAAUGCCACUAUGCCUCAUACCAAAAAUACCACAUACUUUGAGAGAAGGCAUACACCUUUAUUGCCUUGGUAAGGAUCCAUAAAUACCAUAAAAGAGAGACUAGAGAGAGUUAUACAAGGAAUCUCUGAGUUUUAUUUGAAAAUCUGCAAAAACUCCAGAGCUAUAGUUAAUUGAAGAACAAGAGACAUGGCGCUUGACUAGACCGUUCUAUCUUUUAACUGCUCAAGACACAAGUGACGGUUGCAAGCCCCAUGGUGGAAGGUAAAAUGAGUAAGUUUAAAUCUUAACAGUUUACCCUAACCUAGAGAUGAGAUCUUGUUUGAACGCAUGUGUAUCUUUAAGGCAUAAAACCACUGCAGAAACUCUUGAGUCCAUCUUUGCUCAGGGACGGGCAAAGGUUAAGCUUGGGGGAGCUUGUUGACGGUCCUUAAUGCUCACAUUUAACCAUCAACUAAUCAUGGAAAAGGACUUAAAUGCAACCAACACCUAGACAUAGGGUUUUAUCUGACAGAAUUCCACGAGUUUUGGUGUUUGUCUAUUUCUGUAGGAGAUUAUCAAGAAAUACGGAAGAAAGGCCCACACGUCAGGUUUACAUAGAGAUAUUAACGUGCCACGCAAUUUUCUAUCAUCCAGAAGACUCCAGAAGCCACGGGACCGAAGCGGAGGCCGAGAGGACUCACGGACAGGGCGCCCGCCCUACUCUCCUGGGCGCCCGCCCUCACACAGAGUCCAAUCGGGACUCUCUUUCGGGAUCAAUCUCCACCGACCUAAAGGAUCAAGGAUAACCAUUCAAUCAAUGUCGGUUUGAUCCAACGGCCCAUAUUCACUUGAAGGGACUAUAAAACCAGACCCCCUGGCCCCUAGAGAUCAUACCUCUUCUACAGAAUCAAAGCUAGGGUUUCAAUUCUUCAUCCA
rnacentral:lncRNA from 1 species